AUCAAUAUAAUGAAGGAAAGGACUUCGAGGUGGGAGAAGUUGUGGAGGAGGAAAAACCAUUAAUAAGAAAAAUGAUUAUAACCGCCUUGUGGUGUAUACAAUUGAAGCCAAGCGAUCGACCUUCAAUGAAGGAAGUCCUACAGAUGCUCGAAGGAGAUGUUGAAUUACUUCGAAUGCCUCCGGAGCCUCUUCUAUAUCCCAAGAGAUGCCCGUAGGUGCUCCUAAUGAUAAUCCGAAUCCAACAUAUUCGAAGGUGGAGUUAACAUCUUCUUUGACGGGUAGGUGAAGACACGCAACUAGCAUGGACUCUGUCAGUUUGAAUCUCAAUGCAAUGUUUCUGGUUUUGUAGUAGUACUGUGUGCAUGAUAAAACCCCCUUUCAUUGAUGUUAAAUAUGUUUAGUACAACAUAUUUUCAUGAUUCCAGGGAUAAAUAACAUAUUUCAUGGAGGACAUGUUGUAUGAUUCAUGAAGACGAUAUUUUCUAAUUUUUGUUCCAAGAAAUUAUUAGUUGUGAUGAUUGUUCGCUCGUGCUGAUAAUUCUGGUUCUAAUGGGCUCAUGCCGGCUGCUCUUACAUAUCUCCGGUUGUUAUUUGUCCGUGGAGGGAGGGACCUCCCUAGUCAAUAUCGAAAACAUUUUUUUUCUUGUGAAUACAACGAUAUAUUUACACUAAGGGGGAGUGGGUCGCCUAAGCCAUACAAUGGACAAUCUAAUUUGCUAUCCAAUUUGUCAUCUACAAGAUUUAAACUUAAGAUCUCUCACUUGCAAGUGAAGAGGAAUAUCAUCAUAUGUAGUAUUGAGUGGCAAUAUUCGAAACCUUUUAGUUGGGUGGCAAUAUUCGAAACCUUUUAGUUUGCCAAGUCAUUUCUUGGUUAGAAGUUUUUUAAGAAAGUUGAGGUUCCACCCCAAAAUCAAUUGGCAAUAUGAGAGUAGUCUAAUUACUUAUAAGUACAUGUAAGGUCCCUUCUUUCUCUAAUGUGGAAUUCACUUUCAAAAAAUAUUUUGUCUGAGAAUCCCUCCUUUUGUAUUUGAAAUGCUGCCUGCUCUGUACUGUGCAACCAGUUUAUAGCCUUGGUGGAGGACUUAGCCUUCUCAUUAUAAUUUCCUAUGAUACUUGAACGUAAUGUCUAUCACUUGCUGGAGCAUCAUUGUAAUUGUAAGCCAAAUGGAAGAUUUGUUGAUCACAGCCUUGGUGAAGAUAUUCAAUUCCUUUGGCAAAUGGCUAGAUCUUGCAUCCCAACCAAGAAAUUUGUUGUUAUUGUCUGCUGAUGAAAUGAAAUCAUGCAGUGAUCUAUUGAACAGCAGUUCGUCUAAAUCCAUAAACGCAGAAGCCAACCAAGGGAAUAGCAUGGUUGAUAUGACCCAUUGUUCCCCCUUUAUUUAUGAACUCUUCUCCAUCUCCCCUUCCAAUUGUAUAAUAUCAUAUGGUUUACCAUAUCGUAUUUCGGUCACAAGUGAGAUAAUUAAUCUCAAUUCGAACUUAGCGAUUAAUAUAAUGAUAAUUUUUUUUUCAUGAUCAGGAUUUUCAGCCUGGAGAGACAGUAAGAAGUUUGCCACACUGCCAUAACAUAUUUCACCUGCCUUGUAUAGAUAAGUGGCUCCUAGGGCAUGCCUCAUACCCUCUCUGCGUAAGGGAUUUGUGAAUGUGAUGAUCUUCUUGUAGAUUACCAAAUGAGUAAAAAGUUCAUUUAUUGAUUAUACAAAUUUUUUAUCCUUUUCAUUUGUAUUGGUAUUCACCAGACUGCUCUAGGAUGAGCAAAAUACUCAUAGGUUUGGGUAACCAUGUUUACCCGUCCAUUUAAAGUUCACGGUUAUGGUUAUGGGUAACCAUUUAGACGAACAAACGGUUAUGAGUAUAACCGUUUAUUUUUGAAAUUUAAAUGGGCUGUUAUGGAUAUUACCGACUGUUAUAAUGGGUAUCUAUUGGUUAUGGGUAUUAUCCACGAUUAUACGGGUAUCCAUUUACCUAUUUAAUUUAAUAUAUAUAAAAAUAAAAAUAAAAUUAUCGCAGGGAUUUUGAGGGGUUUUAGAAGUAGCUCCUAUCGCAGGGAUUUUGAGGGAUUUUAGAAGUAGGCUCUCUCUCUCUCUCUCUCUCUCUCUCUCUCUCUCUCUCUCUCUCUCUCUCUCUCUCUCUCUCUCUCUCUCUCUCUCUCUCCCUCUCCCUCCUCUGGUCCUGACCCUCUCCUUCCCAGCUCCACUGCAGGGAUUUUAAUUAUCACAGGGAUUUUGGGUAUGCUAAAAUUCUAAGUACAGGUUCAUGGUGUAGGCUCCGGCCAUGAACUCUUUCUUGCAAAGUGCAAAUGCAAUAACAACAUAUAUAUAUAUAUAUAUAAAUACAAAUUACACAAUAUAAUUAAUCAAUUAAAAUACACACAAUCAUCCAGUUGAUCUGGUCACCAUGUCUGUAUGUGCUAUCAAUAGAACAUUUGUGACUUGCCAUCUUGAUAGUUGAUACGAUGAUAUAUCACUUUGUGAAUAUGAUCUCGUAAACUAUCAUUUCAAUUAUUGAAAUUGUAUGAGGACUUGAAUGAUUAAAAUAUAGAAAUGCAUGCUAAAAUGUACCUAUAACGGUGCUUAAUUGUCAGAAAACGAAAAUUAUGAUAAAUUUUUCUUUUGUAAUUUUCAAGUUGUUAGAAAAAAAACAUGUAGACGGAUGAAAAAGGGUAAAUGGGUAAAAAAAAAGAAGGAUAAAUAGGUUCAAAAACGGGUAAUUGGUUAUGGUUAUGGUUAAAUGGGUAAAUGGUUAUGGUUAAAUAGGUACAUGGUUAUGGGUAUGGAUAACCAUUUAUAAACGGUUAUGGUUAUGGGUAUAACCGUUUAUGCAAUUAUCUAACAGAUAAAUGGUUAUGCGGGUAUGAAUAUAAACGGUUAUGGGUAAAUAACUACAGUUACCUACCCGCCAUAAUCGUUGCUCAUCCCUAGAUUGCUCCAGUAGCUGCAGGUUGGUUCAUUGGAACUGAUUAUUUUGGUUUUGGCACAAUCUGAUAUUUAAUGUGGUAGUAUGUGAUACUAAUAACACACUAUUUUUGAAACCGAAAACCAAAAUAAUUCACACUAUUUCUAGAACUACAACGAAAUAACCCUCACUAUUUCUGAAACUGAAUCAAAAUAAUCAUUGGAAACUACAAUAAAAUAACCCCCACUAUUUUUGAUACUUGUUGUAUUGAUGGUUUUGUUGGGUUUUUAGUUCUUUGAUGAUUUUUUAUUGUAAAUGGCUUCUCAUCAGAAAUUAUUAAACACCGGAUUUGCUAUUUUGGUUGCGUAGCUAUGCAGUUGCUCUCUCCAAUCCAUCUAUCAGUCCACUUGAUUGCUUGGAAUAAUUUGAAGGUAGUUAAUUAAAUUACUUUGCUUCUUUUUCGAUCGACUAUAUAUAUUAGUGCUAGUUGCCUUGGUUAAGACUUUGAACCAGGGUUGGAUGAAGUGAUGGAGGGAGGCAGACAAUGGUGACAUACGGUGGGGAUGGGCGGAGGGGUCGGAUGACGGGUCGUGGACUAAGAAAACGGUGCCCAUUAGUGCUCCCUUGCCUAAGACUUUAAGGGCCCUGACAGUCACCAGCGAGAUCGAGCUCCGGCGAGGUUGGAUGGUGAAUGCGGGGAUAUGGAAAAUGCAGAAAGUGAUUUAAAUUUUUUUUUAUUAUUAAUAUAAUUCUUGUCGAUUUUAUCCGACAGGAAAUGCUUUUAUUUGUUCAUUAGUAAUUUAUUCCUGUCGGUUUUAUCCGACAUGAAAUGGUUUUAUUUGUGCAUUUUUAAUUAAUUUCUGUCGAAUGGUUUAAUCAUUUUCUGUCGGUUUUAGCCGACAAAAAUAAUUUAUUUAUCCGACAUAAUUUCUGUCGAUUUUAGAGUAUUUUCUGUCGGAAAAUUAAUUUCCUGACGCAGGCAAUUCUGUCACUUAUUAUAUCCGCCACUGCAUCCAUUUUCUGUCAGAUUUUACUUAAAAUUCGACAUAAAUAUAUGUUUUUUGUCGGUUUUCAAAACGUCAUUAAUAACUGGUUUCCUAGUAGUGUCAGUUGGGCAUGGAACCGUUAAUUGUACAUCUCAAAUUUCACUUUCUUUGUAACCAUAAUUUCUGACAUUAAAGGAAAAACUGUACAAAUCAUUCUCACCACAUCCAGAAUUAGCCUACAAAUAACUCCAUAUUACACCGAUAAGUGUACCAGGGAUGGCCGUAAAUCCCAUCAUCCACUUUAGGAGAUUUUUUCUUAAACGACCAUUGGGGCAUAAUAUUUAAUUAUCACAUGGAAACAACUUUUUUUAUAAAGGAAAACUAAUGAAAAAGUCUUGAAAACUUUGAGUUUUAACGAUAAGGACAAAAUAAAGAGUAAAGUGAAUAGUAUAAGGAUUGACUUUUUAGUGUAAAAAUAUGGUUUUUCGUUAAAGUGAACAGUACCGGGAGUUUUUUGUUAAAGUUCUCUUUUUAUAAAGCAAGGGUAAGUUGCGUCCGUUAGAUAUUCACCUCGACCUUCGUAAAGCGAUGAACCUUGUUGGCUAAUUAAGCAUCAUAAUGAGCUAAUAAUAAUAUGGUUUAAAUUCACCUUCGGUGAGAAUCGAACAUAAGACCUCUCAAUUACAAAUGAAGAGGAAUACCACUAGACCGUAAUACUAAGUAACAAUUUUUGAGCAAUAUUAAACAUACUACAAUGUGUGUGUAUAUAUAUAUAUUAACAAACGAUAUUAUUUAUACUAAAGGGAGGGGUUAGACUUAACCUCAUAAUAAGCUAGCAAUAAUGUGGUUUAAAUUCUCAUUUAUCAAGAAUUGAACCUAUGACCUCUCAAUUACAAGUGAAAAAGAUUACCACUAAUUAUUCGGAUAUUAAAUAUACAAUGCACUUGUCCUAAAUUAAUUAAUAUAAGAGACCUUUUGAUAUAAUUGAUAAAAAAAAAAAAAAAGGUAGCCGAUCUGCGACGAUUCCUUUAUCUCUUUCCCCUAUCUGUGAAAUCCCAACCCUAGCCCCAAUUUCUGAAACUCUCCAUCUCUCUCCUCCAUGCCCUUUCUAUCUGCUUUCUCGGUUACUCCUGUUGUGGUUCAUGAUGUUGUUCAAGCCAACGUGUCUUUGACAGCUGUGAGUGGAUCGAAAUUCAGAAAUCUCAUAUCUACUUUCUGAGUGGCUCGCCUACUACUAUAUUAAGUGGGUCCUACAUAUAUUUUUAUUAGAAAAUUAGAUUUUAAUCCCUAAAUAAGAAGAAGUUUAGAAAAAUGUUUUAUACAAGAUUAAAAAUUGAUUUUAGUCCCUAGACUCUAUUUAAUGCCAACAAUUGUUUUUAAUGUCUCUUUUUUUAUUUAUAAUUUUAUGAAUUUAAAUUUUAUGAAAAUAUGAUAAAUUUUAAUUCUCAUUAUGGUAAACAUCUUAUAUAAGAAAAUAUUUUCGUAGAAAUUUUUCGGUACACUUAUGUUUUUGCAUAUUUUCUUAUCUGCCACUAAUUCAUUACAAUAUAUUUAGGUACGAACAUUUCGGUACACUGGGUUAGUAUAAUAUGUUUAGGUACAUACAUUUCAGUACACUAGUUUAGUAUAAUGUAUUUAGGUAUCAACAUUUCGGUACACUAGUUUAGUAUCAUAUAGUUAGGUACAAAAUUUUUGGUACACUUAUGUUUUUAUGUCACAUCCCGGCCCGAGUCCUCACCACAUCCCAAGCUCGACUUCACCGUAGCACUAUAUUGUCCACUUUGGGCAUCGACCAUACCCUUACGGUUUUGUCUCUGGGAACUCACACGAGAACUUUCCAAUGGGUCACCUAUCAUGGGAUUACUCUCGCGCGAACUCGCUUAACUUCGAAGUUCCAAUGGAACCCGAAGUCAGUGAGCUCCCAAAAGGUCUCAGGUAGAGAUGAGAAUAUAUAUAUAAGGCAUAGAUAAUCCACUCCCCUGGGCGAUGUGGGAUCUUACAAUCCACCCCCUUAGGGGCCCGACGUCCUCUUCGGCACACUUCCAGCCAAAGAUUGGCUCUGAUACCAAAUUGUCACAUCCCGGCCCAGGCCCCCACCACAUCCCAGAUUCGACUCCACCGUAGCACGAUAUUGUCUUCUUUGGGCCCCAACCACAUCAUCACGAUUUUGUUUUUGGGAGCUCACAUGAGAACUUCCAGUGGGUCACCCAUCAUGGGAUUGCUCUCAAGCAAACUCGCUUAACUUCAGAGUUUCUAUGGAACUCGAAGCCAGUGAGCUCCCAAAAGGUCUUGUGCUAGGUAGAGAUAAGAAUAUACAUAUAAGGCAUAGAUGAUCCACUCCCCUGAGUGAUGUGGGAUCUCACAUUUUACAUAUUUUCUUAUGUGUCACUAAUUCACUACAAUAUGUUUAGGUACGAGCAAUUCAGUAUACUAAUUUAGUAAAAUGUAUUAUGAUACAGACAUUUAGGUACACUAAUUAGAUAAGGUUAAAUACAAUUAAUGAAUUAAAAUGUGUAUAAUAAUAAAUUAAAAAAUUCAAUGUAAUAACAUUAAAUAAAGAAAAUUGUUAUUAGCACUCAAAAAAUCUCAUUCUAUACUACUUACAAAUGUAUUUAUCUUUCUAAUUAUGAAAGUUUGAAGUACCAAAUGAGAUUUUAGGAUGCUAAUAAUAAUUCCUUAAAUAAAUUAUCUAUUAUAUACAAAAACAAAAAUAUAAUAUGAAUUUGAAUUAGGUACACAUUAAGGGAUUAAAACCAAUAUUCAAUCUAAUACCAUAAUUUUAUUAAAUUUUAAUCUUCUUGAAAAUUUAAAGUUCAUAAACCCCUAUUUUUAUUCCUCCAAUGUUAGCAAACACUUCAAUCACUGGAAGAAGUGCAAUUCCAAUUUCUUACAUUCAAUUCCCCUUACGUAAACACGUUAUUAAUCAGGUCAACAUGCAAGGAGGAGGGAGAGUUUGAAAAGAAAAAAAAGGGACGGAAAAAAGAAAUGGGACAGAAAAAAUAGAGAGAAAAUGUCUUGAUGGAAAGAAGAAAAAAGAAAAAAAAACAAAGAGAAAGAGGAGAGAGAGAGAGAGAGUCUGAUUGAAGGAAGAAAAAUAAGAGAAAAAGAAGAGAAAAAAAAAAGGGAAAGGAAGAAAAGGGAAAGGAAGAGAGAGACAUAUGUAGAGAAGAAAAAGAGAGAAGGAAGAGAGAACAGGACCGAAAAAAAAAAAGAGAAAGGGACGGAAAAAAAAAGCAAAGAAAAAGGAGAGAAAAAGAGAGGGAAGAGAGGAGGGGACCAGAAAAAACAGAGAAAAGACGGAAAAAAAAAAGCAAAGAAAAAGGAGAGAGAAUCUGCUGGAAAGAAGAAAAAGAAGAGAUAAAAAUGAGAAAAAGGGGCGGACAAAAACAAAGAGAAAGGAAGCAAGAGAGAGAGAGAGAAUGAAGGAAAGAAGAAAAAGAAGAGAGAAGGACGAAAGAAAGGGAGGGGAAAAAGAGUUUGAUGGAAAGAAGGAAAAAAAAGAUGAGGAAGAGAGAAGGGGACGGGAAAAAAACAAAGAGAAAGGAAGAGAGAGUUUGAUGGAAUAAGAAAAAGAAGACAGAAGGAAGAGAGAAAGGACGGAAAAAAUGGGGAAAGGACGAGAGCAUGAUGGAAAGAAGAAAAAGAAGAGCUACGGUGCAUGGAAAAAAGAAAAAAACCAAAGAGAAAGAUGAGAGAGAGAGAGAGAGUCUGAUGGAAGGAAGAAAAAGAAGAGAAAAAGAGACAUAUGUAGAGAAGAAAAAGAGAGAAAGAAGAGAGAACAAAAAGAAGAGAAAAAGAGACAUAUGUAGAGAAGAAAAAGAGAGAAGGAAGAGAGAACAGGACCGAAAAAAAAAGGAUCGGAAAAAAAAAAGGAAAACUAAUAAAAAGGGAUUGAAAAUUUUGAGUUUUAAUGAUAAAGAUAAAAUAAAGGGUAAAUUGAAUAGUAUCAAGAUUGACUUUUUAGUGUAAAAAUGUGGUUUUUCGUUAAAGUGUAAAAAAAAAAGAACGGAAAAAAAAGGCAAAGAAAAAGGAGAGAGAAAAAGAGAGGGAAGAGAGAAGGGGACCAGAAAAAACAGAGAGAAAAGACGGAAAAAAAAAGCAAAGAAAAAGGAGAGAGAGAAUCUGCUGGAAAGAAGAAAAAGAAGAGAUAAGAAUGAGAAAAAGGGGCGGACAAAAACAAAGAGAAAGGAAGCAAGAGAGAGAGAGAGAGAGUGAAGGAAAGAAGAAAAAGAAGAGAGAAGGACGAAAGAAAGGGAGGGGAAAAAGAGAGAGAGAGUUUGAUGGAAAGAAGGAAAAAAAAAAGAUGAAGAAGAGAGAAGGGGACGGGUAAAAAACGAAGAGAAAGGAAGAGAGAGUUUGAUGGAAUAAGAAAAGAAGAGAGAAAGGACGGAAAAAAUGGGGGAAAGGACGAGAGCAUUAUGGAAAGAAGAAAAAGAAGAGCUACGGUGCAUGGACAUGAUGGUAUUAUUCCUGUGUCGCAUUUUUUUGGUCAUAAAAUAAUUUCUUUUGUUAAUUUGACGUAUACUCGUAUCAUGUUCUGUCAUAAUUCUGUGUCCGCAACCAUGCAUCAUAAAAGAACAAAGAAGGAAGAUAAAGGGAUGGAGGAAGGAAGAGUGAGAGAGAGACAGAGAACCGCUGCAGUUGUUCAGAAAGUGGUGGGUUGAGUUUUUAUUUUUGUGAAAUGAUUAGUUAAUAAAAUCUUUGAGAUUUAACAAAGAUUUAAUAUUUAUUGUUGGAGAUGCUCGAGUCAUCAGAAAUGGACAAUACUUAGUACUGACUGUUGAGUACCCAAAAUAUUGACCUAAUGACAUGCCUAGAAAUAUUAAAACAUCUUUCAUUUAAAGCUCUCCCCAAACAUUUGUGGUCUUGUUAACCAAACACCUAACUUUCAUCCUGAGCUCAUAACCAAACACCCAUCUUCUUCCUAUUUGUUUGAGUAAAUUAUAGUUGUGAUCCCUAAACUAUGACUGAACUAUGGUACCUCAAUUAAAAAUUUAUUAGUUUUGGUUCUUUAAUUUGACAAAAGGUGUAACAUUGGUCAUUCCAUGCUAACUAUUAAGUUUUCUGUCAAAAUGAUGACAUGGUAGGCACAUGGAACCCAUGAUUAAUAUUAUAAUAUGAAAAUUUAAAACAUAGAAAAUUAAAAAAAAAAAAAUCCUUUAUCUCCUUCACUAGUAACAAUGACGCCAACACCAAACCUUGUACUUAAUUUUCUCUAUCCUACAAACCUCGUACCCAAUUCCCUCUUCAAAAUCCAAUCAGAACUUUAAUACCAAAACUCAUCGCAAGCAUCAUACCCACCGCUACAUUUGGUGCAGGAUUGGUUAUAGAAUGCGACUGGAAUGUUGGGGGUGGGACUACGAUGGUGAAGGGUCGGUUGUGGCGUGCGGUUGAGAGAGAUAAAAAAGUGAGUGUUGCGAAUUGGGGAAGAUAGGGCUGGACACGGGUUGGGCCGGGCCCGAUUUUGAAAGGAUCAGACUAGACUCAGGUGCAAAAGAGACUGGCGGGGUCGGAGAUAACAUAUUUUAAUAAAGGAACCGGACCUAACCCGGCCUGGUUGAAAUGAGCUGGGGCCACAAGUCCUUUUUUUUUUUUUUUUUUUUUUUUGCGAAACUGCCACCUUCUUCGACAUCUCCACCUCCCUCCUCCAAGGCUAUGCCAUCCUCGCAAUCCUUGCAGCAAAAAUGCAGAGAAAAUUAGCAAAACCCAGAUUGGGGGUUGGGGCUAAAAGCUAAAAAUGCAUGAUUUGUGGAAAACCUAGCUGGGAUUAAGAACUUGAAGAAGAAGAAGCAGAAUGUUUGGGGAGAGAGAGGGAGUCCCGACCCUCUACGUCACCUACGACCACAACAUCCAUUCUGCCAACCCUUUUAGCCGACGCCACGAGCGAGUCCCGAUCAAGCCCUUCUACAACUCAAUGAACUCACCCAUCGAUUUCGUCCCUGCUGUCAACUUCCUUGACGACCGCUACUUCUCUGACGUUGACGAAAAGAUUGAGGCAAGGAGGGAGACGUUGAGCGGUCAAGCUCCCCGAUUUGAGAGGAAGGAGAUUGAGAAUCGACAGGAGAGGAAUGGGAAAAUGUUACAAACAAGCCGGUCCGGGUACCUUUUUUUUUAUACUUCUUGAACCGGCCCACCCCUAAAAUUUCAAAGCCCCGCCCUGCCCUGCCUUGUUUCUCUUUUUAAAAAUUAAAAACCAGCCCGUAUCCUCCUCGAACUGUAAUUACCCGCCCCAAACUGUGAUUACCUGCCCCGACCCACGGUUCAUGUACCUAUUUGCCCACCCCUAGGGGAAGAUGGAAGUAAGGCGUGAGGUAUGGUGGGACAACACCCAUCUCGAACAUUUCUUUUUAUUUUUUAUGCCAAUAGUUUAAAGUGUUUUGUUUCAAUUCUUAUAAGUGAAUAAUGUGAAUGCAAAUUUUCGCCGUUUCUUUUUUUGACAAAAAUGCACUUAUAAAAUAAUAACACAUAAGAUUAAGACCAAAAGCCUCACGCGCUUAGGUAGGCCUGGCUGGUGACAAUGCUGCUUAGGAUGGGGCAACUGUAGAUGAAGUGCAGGAGGUUGAUGUUGCUGAGAGAGAUGCGGCUGCUAAAGAUGUCCAAGUUGUUGAGGAGUAGUCUUUCUAGAUAAACUUUAGGAUUUACUGUCUUUUCCUUUCCUUUCCUUGAACUCUGUUGGCCUUCGUGCCAGUUUACCAAUUUGCUAGAAAUUAAUAAACUGUUUUUCUUCGCUUUACUUCAUUCUCAUCUUUUUGCCUUGCUUCAAACUUUUGCCGUAAAAUGAACAAUUGAGCAAGCUGCUUUGAACAAAGCAGUUAAGCACAUCUCCCUUGCUUUAGGAGCAACGUCCCAUUCAUUGCUCAAUAGUUUGGUUGACAAGUGAGAUCUCGCGGAAAUGUAAAAAAUCACUACAUAAAGAUUGUCUGUUGCAAUCUCCAAUAGUGUCAUACAUGUAAUCAUGAUUGCUCUGAGCACUCAACGAAAGAAACAUUUAGGGAAAAUUAUGUGAUGAUGUAGUUGAACCAUGUCUUAUUUUGGCACCAAUAAUCUGAGAGAUAUUCUUUUGUUUCUACUAUACUCAAUUACUUGACUAAUUUUAUAACACUUUUUAGGUGACUAAUGAGUAAAUCUAUAUAUCUAGAGGGAACAACAAAUUUGCGAGUUUAAUAAUGUCAUAGACAGAACAAGAUAUGGUUAGAUGAAACGGCAAUUUGCUCGUGGAUCCAAUAUAUAACUCAUAUUAGUGAAAAGCUGACUGUGCCACGUGCGCUUAGGCAAGUGGCUCUAUUGGGAUUAGGAUCCUAGCCCGAUCAUUUUGUAGAGAUUCGGAUGAUCAAUCAAUUGUGUUUAUUCAUCGUACAUCGUGUAAUAAUAAAAUAUUUUAAAUUUUUUAUUUAAAAUUAAAUACAAACAAUAUUUAAUGAAACUGACCGCACAAUAUACGAUGAAUGAGCAUGAUUAAUUGAUCAUCUAGAUUUUCACAAAAAGAAUAUGAAGAGGAUCCUCAUCCCUCUUAUUUACCUUGUACUAGUCAGAAAAUCCGAGUCUAUUGGAAAUUGAGUUAUUUACUUGAAAAAAGAAGAAUGAAUUGAUUUAAUUUUUUUUUUUUUUUUUUUGUCAUUAGUUAAAUUUGGGGGUGGGGGGAUUCGAACCUUGGAUGAGGUGGGAGUUUUCUUGGCUCUAGUGCCACUGCACUAGGCCUCCAUCCUCGAUUUAAUUUUUAUUGACAUGCAUACUUUAUGGGGUCAAUAGUGAUGGAUGUACCGGUCAAUGGUAAGAGUCCACUUUACUUGGACAUCUUUGCUUUAUCCCUUGCUGGUCAAUGGUAAGAGUCCACUUUUUUUUUUAAACCAGUAAGAGUCCACUUCACUUGGACAUCUUUGCUUUGAGUGGAAGACCUUGAAUCGUUCGAUUUAUAAAGACUGGAUCGAAACCUCAUGGAAAGUUUGAAAAGAAUUACGAUCUAGGCAAAAAAAAAAAAAAAAAAAAAAAGAGUGAGAGAGAGAAAAAAAUUUACACUCAAGGCACAAUGGGUUGAAGAAGAAGACCUUAUUACUAAAACAAUCCAACACUUGCCAAUAGUUUUCUUUUUAGUAGUUUAUUUAUUUCCUCAUAUAAAUCAAUGUGUAAUCACCAUUAUCUUAUUUGAUUUUGAUUGAGGUAUGUAUUAAACUUGAGACGUAUUUCGACAUUCUAGAAGAGAUAUGACUAGACCAAUCUCUCUAGUUGGUAACGUCACUCAUCCUAAAGUGAUUGUUGUUCAAGAAAAAGUGAAUUUUCACUAAUAAUUCAUCAUUCCAAUAUCCACAUCGUGCAAUUAUCGCCCUCAAUAUGUAAAAGUACUCGGAAAAAAAAGAAAGAAGAAGAAUGCUACAAAAACAUAUCAAUUUGAAUGGGAAACUGAGUCUUCCCGGCCCUAGGAAGGGGUGGAUAAUCGUGGCUUGCCACUAGUUGUUUUUUUUUUUUUAAAGAAUGGGAAACUGAGAACCUAGAAACUUUGAAGGAUCAUAACUAAGCAAGCAUGGCAACAAUAUGUCUAUCGAAGCUAGUUAAGAACUGUGGUGUAAGAACUUGAGGAAAGAUUUUUGCAUAAAAGUUUUAUGGAAAAGUAAUGCAUAUGGCCAGGCCAGACAUUGGUUUCAAGUGAAAAACCAAGCAAUCCAACAAACCUCGAAUGUAAUUACGUAGUCGGACAAACACCUCGAGCUAUCGAGCACAUAUGGUACUUAGGUACAAUGGUUACACUUCUCAGGAGUCCUUAUUAACAUACAUAAGUGUGUGCGCACAUAACUAUCUAUAUAUCUAAGUAGAUAUGUUACUCUAAUUCAGCAAUAGCUUCUAACUGAAUGUUUAGAUUUCUUGCAGGUGUAGUUGCAUUUGUUCGUGCAGGACCUGUAGAUGCAAAAGGAUUGGGAGGCAUGGUUAAGUUUUCUCCUCCUUCCAGCAUUUGAACAACUUCUUUCAUGGAAGGACGACCCGCUGGAUGCCACUGGAUGCACCAGAGCCCUACAAUUGCGAGUUUCUUUGGAGUUUUACCAUCUCCUUCCUCCCCAAGAUGGAUUCGUAGGUCGUCUCCUUCUUCUAGGAGAUUAUAGAUCCAUUCUGGAUAGUAAAUUUCAGUUGGGAUUGCUGAGGUUGAAUCAAUAUUCUUCCUUCCCCCUACCAUCUCAAGCAGCAGCAUUCCAAAACUAUAGACGUCCGACUUAUAGGACACAUUUCCAAAGUUCCUGGAGAACACUUCAGGUGCAAUGUAGCCCAUAGUCCCUCUAGCUGUAGUCAUGGACACUAUGCUUUGAUCCUUAGAACACAACUUGGCCAAACCAAAAUCAGAAAUUUUUGGAGUGAAAUUGUCGUCUAAUAAAACAUUAUGAGGCUUGAUGUCGAAAUGGAGGAUUCGUUGCUCACAUUCCUGAUGAAGAUAAUAAAUUCCCUUGGCUACAGCAAGAGCAAUAUCUUGCAACUUGUCCCAACCAAGGAAACGAUUGUUAUUGUCUGCCGAUGAAAUGAAAUCGUGCAGUGAACCAUUGGCGAAGAACUCAUAAACGAGAGCUCUGUUAAACCCAUCAGCACAGAAACCAACCAAACGAACCACGUUGACAUGGUGGAUACUUCCCAUCAUUCCAACUUCCCUUAUGAAAUCUUCCCCAUUUCCGUUGGAACUAUUGAGAACUUUUACAGCAACAAAGCAUUCAGAAGAAAGUUUUCCUUUGAAAACAGUUCCAUAGGCUCCUUGGCCUAACUUGUCCUGGAAUUGGUUUGUGAUCCUCUUAAUAUCUGCAUAGGAAUACCUGCUUGGUUUCUGAGCGUUGUAAUCUUCUAAAAACUUUUCAAUCUUCAAUUGACUCUCCUUUUCUUUUCGAUUAGACCUAUAGACACGAUAGGCUGCAACGACCAGCAGAAGUAAUACAACAAAUGAUCCCAGGGUUGUACCUGAAUCAAACAAAUCCUUGAGUAAAUAAUAAUAUUCCCGACGGUCUAGCUAGACAUGAAAUAAAAUAAAAAACCGUCAGACUACUCACCACCUACGGCGGCAAAUUUCCAUGUUACACCUGAAAAAAGCAUUGACAAAUUUAGUAAUAGUGAUGAUCUACUGCUCGGGCAAAUUUAGUAAUAGAAGAAAACAAAUUACUCUUUGCCUAUUCAUUUGAAAUUCAUAUCAAAUGCGUUGCAUCUAGUUGUUUGAAAUAUGUUCAGUCGGAUGCUUACUAGAUAAGUAAGCAGCAAGUGCAAUAAUAUAGCAGAAUAUAUGUAAAAUAAAACCAAGAUUGAAAAUGUAGGCAGACUUACUAGGUUUGCUCAAGCGAACACAUUGAAUUUCAGUGUUGGUGUGGUUGUACUUGAUUCUACACUUGUUGCCCUCUGCCUCACACUCUCUACAAUUUGGUUUCUUCCAUUUCAAAUUAGGAACCUCACUAUAAUAAUAGUACAUCUGUGGAAUCGACAAAACAUCGUACAUCUUUGUACACGACUCUAGGAGCGGAUAGUACAUAGUUUCGUAGGAAGAUUCAAUGGCAUAAACUCUGUAGCCAGGGCCACUAAUGCAGGGGACUUUAGCACCGUCUAACUCUCUUUCAACAGGACAGUGGAAUAAGGUAGCGUUGGAAGGCAUGGAUUCUUGGAAGUAGAAUUGAGAGGCUGGCAAUGACAUGUUGAUGUUAUCAACUUCUAAAGGCUUUAACAGCAGGCAUUUACGCGGGUGAUAGACUUGGACUUCCUGAUGCUUGUAAUCUAUGCGCUUCACCAAGAAUUUCACCACUACCGCUCGGUGCUCCUGUCCGUAGUCAGCCUCAUUCGCAUGGCAAUCAGAUGUCGGACUACAGGGAUGUCCACGGCGAAACAGAAUAUGGAUGGCCUCGCCAUGAUCCCCGCAUUUGGAUUUUUCACAAGCAGAGGCAUUCUGGGUUGUUCCGAGCAAUGUUAACAAAGUAAUUGAGAAUAUGCGAACCCAAGAGAUAUUGAGCUGUUGCUGCUGCAUUUCUGAGGUAUUUUUUUUCCAAGGAGAAGAACAAAUAUAUGUUAAUAGUUUAACACAAAGACUUUGUAGAGUUCCUGACCAUAAAAUGCAAUUGAUCUACGGGUUAACCCCAAAGACCACGUCACGGAAGCCUAGAAAGUAUUUACUGUUUUGGUCAAUACUUAAUUCCACAGCGGAAAGAGAGAGCCAUUCCUCUUUACCUGCCACUUUCAAUCUAUACAACAACAACAACAAAGCCUUUUCCCACUAAGUGGGGUCGGCUAUAUGAAUCCUAGAACACCAUUGCGCUCGGUUUUGUGUCAUGUCCUUCGUUAGAUCCAAGUACUCUAAGUCUUUUCUUAGAGUCUCUUCCAAAGUUUUCCUAGGUCUUCCUCUACCCCUUCGGCCCUGAACCUCUGUCCCGUAGUCACACCUUCGAACCGAAGCGUCAGUCGGCCUUCUUUGCACAUGUCCAAAUCACCGGAGCCGAUUUUCUCUCAUCUUUCCUACAAUUUCGGCUACUCCUACUUUACCUCGGGUAUCCUCAUUCCCAAUCUUAUCCUUUCUCGUGUGCCCACACAUCCCACGAAGCAUCCUCAUCUCCGCUACACCCAUUUUGUGUACGUGUUGAUGCUUCACCGCCCAACAUUCUGUGCCAUAAAACAUCGCUGGCCUUAUUGCCGUCCUAUAAAAAUUUCUCUUGAGCUUCAGUGGCCUACGACGGUCACACAACACGCCGGAUGCACUCUUACACUUCAUCCAUCCAGCUCGUAUUCUAUGGUUGAGAUCUCCAUCUAAUUCUCCGUUCUCUUGCAAGAUAGAUCCUAGGUAGCGAAAACGGUCGCUUUUUGUGAUCUUCGCUAGAUUGCUCCGGUCAUUAGUGUGGAUAAGUAUAUAAAUGGAUAAAGAUAAGAAAGCAAACACAAGAUGUACGUGGUUCACCCAGAUUGGCUACGUCCACGGAAUAGAAGAGUUCUCAUUAAUUGUGAAGGGUUUACACAAGUACAUAGGUUCAAGCUCUCCUUUAGUGAGUACAAGUGAAUGAUUUAGUACAAAUGACAUUCGGAAAUAUUGUGGGAGAAUGAUCUCGUAACAUCUUCUCUGGAAGUACUCUUCCUCCAUCCAGGGGUGGUAUCUUUAACUGGUGGAGAUGCACAAGGUAAUGUAUCAAUUGCACUUGAAGCUUACUUGUAGUUUCAGGCUUGGUCAAGCGCGAUACAAACCAUGUAGUAGGAGUCCCCCAAGUCGCCGAGCUAGGGGGUCUGCUGAAAGAGGUGACAGACAAGGUAAGCAAUCAGAGCUCCGACUGAUUGUUCACCUUCUCCCCAUCUUGCAGCAGCAUGAAGGAUAAAGAGAAGAAAAAUGAGAAGAGAUGAUAUGAGAUACUUUUGCUUUUGAAGAAGUAACUUUCCACAGGCUUAUUCUUGAACUGAGCUGGAGGGUUUUUUGGUUUCCUCCAGAGUAUAAGGCCGACUGAAGAAUUUGAGGGUCAAAACAAGUCCAUCAAAUCUAGAGUACGUUCCACCCUGCUGAUAUGGGAUACUUUUGCUUUUGACAGAGUAAUGGAUGUAUCGGCACGUGUGCUGUUACGCUUGUCUCCACAUGCUUCCUUGUAUCCUUCGCACUUGCCCUAUCUGUUCCUCAAGCAGAUGCGGAAUCUUCCCUGGAAACAUAACAUGUUGAAGAUGAGUACUCGAGAGCAAUGCCAGGUAAGUAAUCAGGUAAGGGGUUCCAGGCAGUCAGUUCCUGGCUGGAAGCUUGAUUCCAAGUGCUGACUGAUUGCUCUCUUUCUCCUUGUCUUGCAGGUAAAAACAAGGUCAAAGGAAAAGACAGGGAAAAAGCAUGAUAUGGGAUACUCUUGCUUUUAACCCUGAUGAUAUGAGAUAUUCUUGCUCUAGUAUAGCUUGUUUGCAGAGGUAUUAUCGGGGGAAAGAAAAAGCUGAAUAUUUCGAAAGGCUUCGUUGGGAGUGCCCUCUCAGAUAUGAUGAAGGGUUGAGCAUUUUUGCAGGUCUGCCUGUCCGUUGGGGAUGGAAGUCGACAUAUAUAGGAGUCUCCCUAACAACAAGUAGUAAUGCUAUUCCUUUACCCUGCUUGGUCAUAGCACGGUAGUGGGAGCUGCUAGUUUCACAUGUUUUAACUCUGUCAGAGCACUUUGAAAAAGUGGCCUGUGGUAUCUGGCUCUCGAGAUUCGGAAAACGAUGCCUCUUCGAUUUUUGAGAAAGCAAUCAUGCUGGGGGUCUGGCUCUCGAGAUUCGGAGAGCAGUGUCUCUUCGAUUUUUGAGGAAGUAAUCAUGUUGGGAGUCUGGCUCUUGAGAUUCGGAGGGCGGUGCCUCUUCGAUUUUGGAGCAAGCAAUCCUGUUGGGAGUGUUGUCUCGAAUGUGAGUAAAGGUUGGGCAUGUUUGCUAGUCUACCUUGCCACGAAGCACAAAGGUUGACACACAGGGACUUUCCAAUUAUCCAGCAAUGGUACUGUUCCUUUACCCUCUCUUCGCUUUUGAGAAAGUAGUCAUGUUGGGAGUCUGGCUCUCGAGAUUCGGAGGACAGUGCCUCUUCGAUUUUGGAGCAAGCAAUCUUAUUGGGAGUGUUUUCUCGAAUGUGAGUAAAGGUUGGGCAUGUUUGCUAGUCUACCUUGCCACGAAGCACAGAGGUUGACACACAGGAACUUUCCAAUUAUCCAGCAGUGGUACUGUUCCUUUACCCUUAUGGGUAAUAAUAUGGUAGCUAGACCUUCAAAAUUUAUGUGUCUAAACUUUGUUAGUGCUGUUUCUUUGCUAUUCUUUUACCUUUCUUGGUCAGAGCGAUGUAGUGGGAGCUGCAAGCUUCACGUGCUCAACUUUGGCAGAGAACUUUGGCAAAGUUAUCUGUGGUACCCAUGAGCUAUUGUUGCGUGUGACAGGUGCUGACAAGGCUAGAAAAGUAGGUGCAUCUUCGAUUUCUGAGAUCGGCCCUCGUGGUCUCUGAGCAGCCCAGCUUUUGAGAAAGCGAGCGCCUCUUCGAUUGAUUCGGAGAACGAUGCCUCAUCGAUUUUUGAGAAAGCAAUCAUGCUGGGGUCUGGCUCUCGAAGAUUCGGGAAGCAGUGUCUCUUCGAUUUUUGAGAAAGUAAUCAUGUUGGGAGUCUGGCUCUCGAGAUUCGGAGGGCGGUGCCUCUUCGAUUUUAGAGCAAGCAAUCUUGUUGGGAGUGUUUUCUCGAAUGUGAGUAAAGGUUGGGCAUGUUUGCUAGUCUACCUUGCCACGAAGCACAGAGGUUGACACACAGGGACUUUCCAAUUAUCCAGCAAUGGUACUAUUCCUUUACCCUCUCUUCGAUUUUUAAGAAAGUAGUCAUGUUGGGAGUCUGGCUCUCGAGAUUUGGAGGACGGUGCCUCUUCGAUUUUGGAGCAAGCAAUCUUAUUGGGAGUGUUUUCUCGAAUGUGAGUAAAGGUUGGGCAUGUUUGCUAGUCUACCUUGCCACGAAGCACAGAGGUUGACACACAGGGACUUUCCAAUUAUCCAGCAGUGGUAUUGUUCCUUUACCCUUGUGGGUAAUAAUAUGGUAGCUAGACCUUCAAAAUUUAUGGGUCUAAACUUUGUUAGUGCUGUUUCUUUGCUAUUCUUUUACCCUUCUUGGUCAGAGCGAUGUAGUGGGAGCUGCAAGCUUCACGUGCUCAACUUUGGCAGAGAAACUUUGGCAAAGUUAUCUGUGGUACCCGUGAGCUAUUGUUGCGUGUGGGAAGUGGGUGAUUGAACAGUAAGAUUCAUGUGUUUUCUACUUCCCCAGAAGUCUUCGACAGAAUGCCCAUAAUUUCCGCAAAGCUGAGUGUGCGUGUGACAGGUGCUGACAAGGCUGGAAAAGUAGGUGCCUCUUCGAUUUCUGAGAUCGGCCCUCGUGGUCUCUGGGGAGCCCAGCUUUUGAGAAAGCGAGCGCCUCUUCGAUUUCUGAGAUCGGCCUUCGUGGUCUUUGAGCAGCCCAACUUUUGAGAAAGCAAACGCCUCUUCGAUUUCUGAGAUCAACCCUCGUGAUCUCUAAGCAGCCCAACUUUUGAGAAAGCAAACGCCUCUUCGAUUUCUGAGCAGGCGCCUCUUUCGAUUUCUGAAGCUCCGUCGAGUGCAGAUUUUUAUAGGGGCUGGCAUUAAGUUCCAAAGCACACUUGAAUCUCCACCAGUAGAAGCUUCCUUCUUGCACUUCUAAGAUCUUGAUUUGUCCGACCUCUUCUCUCUUCAACACCUUUGAAAAUGUCUGGCCCCUCCGAUCGUCGUUUUGACUUGAACCUUGUUGAAGAGGCAGCCCCGCCUUCUCCAGACAACAUAUGGCGCCCAUCCUUCGUCUCCCCUACUGGUCCUCUUACCGUUGGGGAUUCUGUGAUGAAGAAUGAUAUGACCGCUGCGGUGGUGGCCAGGAACCUUCUCACUCCCAAAGAUAACAGACUACUUUCCAAACGGUCUGAUGAGUUAGCAGUUAAGGAUUCGCUGGCUCUCAGUGUUCAGUGUGCAGGUUCUGUGUCUAAUAUGGCCCAACGCCUAUUUGCUCGAACCCGCCAAGUUGAAUCAUUGGCGGCUGAAGUGAUGAGUCUCAAACAGGAGAUUAGGGGGCUCAAGCAUGAGAAUAAACAGUUGCACCGGCUCGCACAUGACUAUGCUACAAACAUGAAGAGGAAGCUUGACCAGAUGAAGGAAACUGAUGGUCAGGUUUUACUUGAUCAUCAGAGAUUUGUGGGUUUGUUCCAAAGGCAUUUAUUGCCUUCGUCUUCUGGGGCUGUACCGCAUAAUGAAGCUCCGAAUGAUCAACCUCUGAUGCCUCCUCCUUCUAGGGUUCUGUCCAGUACUGAGGCUCCAAAUGAUCCCCCUCCGGUGCCUUCUCUUUCUGGGGCUCUACCGACUGCUGAGACUUCUCCUAAGCAACCUUUGUGAAGGCUCCCUCUUGUGUGUUUAUUUUGACUCAUGCAUAUGUACAUAUUUGUAGCUUAUCGAGGAUAUCAAAAUAAGCUUUCCUUCAUUUCAACGUAUUGUGUUAAAUACACCAAAGCCUUCUUCUCUAAGUUCUUUGAAUUUUCUUUUGUUGAAGCUUGUAUGUUGAAGCUUUCUGAGUGGAGCAUGUAGGUUGGGGUAGUGUUCCCUUAAUUUCCCGAGUGAGGAAAACUUCUCGGUUGGAGACUUGGAAAAUCCAAGUCACUGAGUGGGAUCGGCUAUAUGAAUCUUAGAACGCCAUUGUGCUCGAUCCUGUGUCAUGUCCUUCGUUAGAUCCAAGUACUCUAAGUCUUUUCUUAGAGUCUCUUCCAAAGUUUUCCUAGGUCUUCCUCUACCCCUUCGGCCCUGAACCUCUCUGUCCCAUAGUCGCAUCUUCUAAUCGGAGCGUCAGUAGGCCUUCUUUGCACAUGUCCAAACCACCGUAACCGAUUUUCUCUCAUCUUUCCUUCAAUUUCGGCUACUCCUACUUUACCCCGGAUAUCCUCAUUCCUAAUCUUAUCCUUUCUCGUGUGCCCACACAUCCAACGAAGCAUCCUCAUCUCCCGCUACACCCAUUUUGUGUACGUGUUGAUGUUUCACCGCCCAACAUUCUGUGCCAUACAGCAUCGCCGGCCUUAUUGCCGUCCUAUAAAAUUUUCCCUUGAGCUUCAGUGGCAUACGGCGGUCACACAACACGCCGGAUGCACUCUUCCACUUCAUCCAUCCAGCUUGUAUUCUAUGGUUGAGAUCUCCAUCUAAUUCUCCGUUCUUUUGCAAGAUAGAUCCUAGGUAACGAAAACGGUCGCUCUUUGGUAUUUCUUGAUCUCCGAUCCUCACCCCUAACUCGUUUUGGCCUCCAUUUGCACUGAACUUGCACUCCAUAUAUUCUGUCUUUGAUCGGCUUAGGCGAAGACCUUUAGAUUCCAACACUUCUCUCCAAAGGUUAAGCUUUGCAUUUACCCCUUCCUGAGUUUCAUCUAUCAACACUAUAUCGUCUGCGAAAAGCAUACACCAAGGAAUAUCAUCUUGAAUAUGUCAUGUUAACUCAUCCAUUACCAACGCAAAAAGGUAAGGACUUAAGGAUGAGCCUUCAUGUAAUCCUACAGUUAUGGGAAAGCUUUCGGUUUGUCCUUUAUGAGUUCUUACGGCAGUCUUUGCUCCUUCAUACAUAUCCUUUAUAGCUUGGAUAUAUGCUACUCGUACUCCUUUCUUCUCUAAAAUCCUCCAAAUAAUGUCUCUUGGGACCCUAUCAUACGCUUUUUCCAAAUCUAUAAAGACCAUGUGUAAAUCCUUUUUCCCAUCUCUAUAUCUUUCCAUCAAUCUUCGUAAGAGAUAGAUUGCCUCCAUGGUUGAGCGCCCUGGCAUGAACCCGAAUUGGUUGUCCGAAACCCGUGUCUCUUGCCUCAAUCUAUGCUCAAUGACUCUCUCCCAGAGCUUCAUUGUAUGACUCAUUAACUUAAUACCCCUAUAGUUCAUGCAAUUUUGUACGUCGCCCUUAUUCUUGUAGAUAGGCACCAAAGUGCUCGUUCGCCACUCAUUUGGCAUCUUCUUCGUUUUCAAAAUCCUAUUGAAAAGGUCAGUGAGCCAUGUUAUACCUGUCUCUCCCAAAAGUUUUCCACACUUCGAUUGGUAUAUUGUCUGGGCCUAUUGCUUUUUUAUGCUUCAUCUUCUUCAAAGCUACAACCACUUCUUCCUUUCGGAUUCGACGAUAAAAAGAGUAGUUUCUACACUCUUCUGAGUUACUCAACUCCCCUAAAGAAGCACUCAUUUCAUGUCCUUCAUUGAAAAGAUUAUGAAAAUAACCUCUCUCCAUCUGUCUUUAAUCGCGUUCUCUGUAGCAAGAACCUUUCCAUCCUCAUCCUUGAUGCACCUCACUUGGUUUAGGUCCCUUGUCUUCUUUUCCCUUGCUCUAGAUAGUUUAUAGAUAUCCAACUCUCCUUCUUUGGUAUCUACUCGUUUAUACAUAUCGUCGUAAGCCGCUAACUUAGCUUCUCUGACAGCUUUCUUCGCCUCUUGCUUUCGUUUUUCUAUACCUUUCACCAUUUUCAUCGGUCCUCUCCUUGUAUAAGGCUUUACAACAUUCCUUCUUAGCCUUCACCUUUGUUUGUACCUCCUCAUUCCACCACCAAGAUUCCUUUUGGUGUGGGGCAAAGCCCUUGGACUCUCCUAAUACCUCUUUUGCUACUUUUUCGGAUACAACUAGCCAUGGAAUCCCACAUUUGGCUAGCUUCCCCCUCUCUAUCCCACACACAUUGGGUGAUUACCUUCUCUUUGAAAAUGACUUGUUUUUCUUCUUUUAGAUUCCACCAUCUAGUCCUUGGGCACUUCCAAGUCUUGUUCUUUUGUCUUACUCUUUUGAUAUGUACAUCCAUCACCAACAAGCGAUGUUGAUUAGCCACGCUCUCUCCUGGUAUAACUUUGCAAUCCUUACAAGUUAUACGAUCCCCUUUCCUCAUUAGAAGAAAAUCUAUUUGUGUUUUUGACGACCCACUCUUGUAGGUGAUCACAUGUUCUUCUCUCUUCUUAAAGAAGGUGUUGGCUAAGAAGAGAUCAUAUGCCAUUGCAAAAUCCAAGAUAGCUUCCCCAUCCUCGUUUCUCUCCCCAAAACCAUGGCCACCAUGAAAACCUCCAUAGUUGCCUGUCUCCCUGCCCACGUGUCCAUUUAAAUCUCCUCCUAUAAAUAACUUCUCCGUCUGAGCAAUUCCUUGCACCAAGUCUCCAAGAUCUUCCCAAAAUUUCUCCUUCGAACUCGUAUCCAACCCUACUUGAGGUGCGUACGCACUAAUCACAUUGAUAAGUUCUUGUCCUAUUACAAUCUUGAUUGCCAUGAUUCUAUCUCCUACCCUCUUGACAUCUACAACAUGUUGUACCAAGGUCUUGUUCACGAUGAUGCCAACACCGUUUCUCGUUCUAUUUGUGCCCGAAUACCAAAGUUUAAACCCUGAGUUUUCUAGAUCCUUUGCCUUACUACCAACCCACUUAGUUUUCUUGUAGGCACAUAUAAUAUUUAUCCUUCUCCUCACCAUAACUUUCACUACUUCCAUAGAUUUUCCCGUUAAGGUUCCUAUAUUCCACGUUCCUAAACGCAUUUUGCUCUCUUGAACUCUACCCUUCUGUCCUAGCUUCUUCAUCCUCCCCCUAAUAGGAUCAAGGUACAACUUCUUUUUGUGUGUCCCGGGUAAAGUUGAUAGGAGCAUAUGCUCCCAAACAACUUUGAGUGGAGUCGUUCGAAAAAGAAGUUUCUAUGGCCCCUUGCUCAUUUAACACUGCAUCCGGGUGCCGAUGGAGAUGCCGAUGAGCGACCUACAGCUUGACCCUCUCACUUAUCACUGUGCUCGGGCCACACAGCGCGCCACUUACGGGUGACGCCCUAGCUUUAGCGCGAUUUUGUUCUGGAUUCAUUUUCAUAAGGAUUCGACGUGAUCAUGGAGUGCCGGCUGUCGACUACCUGACGCCCUCCCCCUCCUCCUUUAUCCGGGCUUGGGACCGGCCAUGUAAGACAUGGGCGGAGUUACUUUCAAUCUAUACAUGUGUAAAAUCUUUUCUUGUGCUUAUAUAAAUUUUUUGUAUUGUAACGCGCUUUCUGUGUCAAACGUCGCCGAUAUUUUUCUCCAUGGGAAUGAGUGGAAGGUCCUCCUCCUCCUCCUCGAUGCGGUUUUUAAUUGCAGCUUUUAUUGUUUUUAGCUUAUCCCCUCAAACGAUUUGUAACGCCACCCAGCUAAAGUGUACCUCUUCCUGCGGCCAUAUCCGCAAUAUAAGCUACCCUUUUUGCGGCAACUCAGGAUACACUCUGUCUUGUGAGAGCAACAAAACCAUACUAAACAUACCUUCAUCUGGCGAUUACUACGUACAGGCAAUCAACUACCAUAACCAAACAAUCCGACUUGUCGAUCCGGGCCUUGACAAGAGCAAUUGCUCCUCCCUUCCUCUUCAUUCUCUGUCUCUUCCUUAUGAGUAUUUCCAAAUUCCGACGACACCUGGGAAUUGUACAGCAUCAUCAACAGAUUCAUCAGCGAUAUGUACGGAAAUUGGCACAACAAAUUUAACAUUUUUGAAGUGUCCGCGUCCAAUGAAUUCAUCUCUUUACGUGGACGCUGCUCCAUGUUUUCCUGUUGAAUCUGCUUCUACUUCAUCUUCGUCGAUGUCGUCAUCCCAACCAAAAUCGUAUGGCUAUGUCAAGAUUGGAUCUUUAGAGGUAGGGCAGAUGAAAGACGGUUGCAGCAUAGAGCGAACGACUUAUGCCUACUUGUUCGACGGCUACAACGCUUCUUAUAAAUCCAUACACAAUUCUCUGGUUUAUGGAUUUGAGCUUCAAUAUAUCCGAGAUGGUCCCUUUUCCUGCAGAAACCCAUGGUGGAAUUUCAAGUGGGAUUUCGAGUGUUAUCCGCACAGCGUUCGAGGUGAGUAGGGAAUAAAUCUCAAUUUUCUUUUUUACUUCAUUAUCAUCUUUUGUAGGAAAUUCAUUUCUAUAAAAUAAAUAAAAUUAAAAUUAAAAUUGCAGGGCCAUGGUCAUCCUUUGUAAAAAAUUAUUUUUAAAUAAAAAUGUCAGACCAAAUUCAUAUAUUAUCUUUAAUUGAAGAGGCUUCUUAAUAAUUUAUCAUUUUUAAACUUAUACUUUAAAUUUAUUGAUUAAUUUAAAUAAACUACUUGUUUUUUAAAUUUAGUCAUUGAAUUUGAAUCAAUUAUUACAACUAAGUAGUUGGCACCAAAAAAGGCUAAGAAGAGGGCUACAUUUGGCCAGUUUGUCAUUUUUAAGCUUGUGGACCAUUGGAGAUGGCCAAAUAUAUUAGACAAAGAAAUAACAAGUUUGAGCAAGUGACCAUUUACCACAGUAAUAAAAAUAUGUUGUGCUCUUACAUGAUAACAUGAGGUUCGAAUCAUGUCAAUGACAUAUAUAACCUUUACCUUACUAAUGUAAAAAAAAUAAAAAAAUAAAGUUUGAAAUUUUAAUUUAAAAUCAACUGGUGUGGGCCAAGUAUUUUACAUUUUUCCCUCUUUGUCACCGCAGGUUUUUUUCAAUUUCUAUGGGUGCUGAUUCAAUGUAAGAGAUCUAUCCAUGGGAGCUUAUAUGACAUUUAAUUUAUCCUCUAUUUCGAGAGUUCUUAUAUUCCUUUUGAAUUGGUUUGACCCUUGGCUUCUUCCACCCCUUCAUCUAGAGGUGCUACUUUCUAGAGAACGUGUCUUUUCAAUUUGAAUUGAGAUCCAAAUAUUCAGAACAUGUUGUGUAGUCUAAAAGCAUCUCUAAAGAGGUCAAAUCCAAAAUAUCAAAGUAUUUUAAAAAAAAUAUUUAAAUAUUUGAUGAAUUUUUAUAUAAAACUGUUGUGGUUAUGUUAAAUGAUUAAAAAUGAUAUAAUAUUAAUGUCAAAUUAUUUUUGUGGUACAUGUGAUAUGUCAUUUUCAAUGUGAUCUUUGUUGUGAAAAAACUAUUAAUUAAACUCCCGUGGUGAGCCCUAUUAACAAUUGAGGUCCAAAUCUAAAGUUCUGUUAGUCUUCCGUUAGAUAAAAUCAUGUGACUAUCAUAUGUGGAUCGGUCAAAAUUAAGUUUAUUUAUUUUGAAAAAUAAAAAGACAAAAACAUGAUUGAAUUAAAAUAAAAAAAAAUGUAAAGAUAGAAAAACCCAGUAGUUAGACACUAAAUUAUACUAAUUUCAGUAAACCCUAAAUUAUACUAAAUGUUCAUUGAAUAAGAUGUAAUUUGGUUUGAAAUGAUGAAUUUGACACUUCAUGUGAUAGUUAUGUGAGUUUAUUUAACAGAAGACUAACGAAAAUUUAGAUUUCGAUCUUAAUUGUUAACAAGGCCUACCACGAGGGCUUAAUUAAAAACUUUUUCAGCAAGAGGGUUACAUCGAAAGUGGUGUGUCAUCACAUGAUCACAAAAAUAUUUGGACUAAUAUUAAAUUAUUUAUUUAUUUAUUAUUUGUUUAUUUAUUUUAUUUAUUUAUAAUCUCUCCCACUUUCACUCUCUUUCCUCUCCCUCAUUUUCUCCGCCGCUAUUCCUCCCUCAUCUCAACUUCACUGGAUCUUCGAGAGCAACACCGUCGUCAGUGUUGGCAUGGCCACCGUCAACAUCUCCACCCACAACUUCGAGGCCGGCGCCUCCAUUCUCCACCCCAGGAACUUGCACGCUUUUGAACUACACCAAGCUCCUCAACUUCGCCGUCAAAAGCCCCUCCUCCUCCUCUUCUGCACUUCAAAUCAAAGCUUCCCUUUGCUGAUAAGAUUGUUUUGCUUUCCAAUUCACUCGUCAUGCUCUUCAGAUACGGCUUCUCCCUUGUCAGGAUGGACAAGGUUGUUGAGGUAUAAAAGUAAAUAAAUAAAAGGUUUGUUUAUUGAGUUUUAACUUAGGGUUUUGUUAUUGAAUUGGUAAAUUUCUUUGUGGUGCAGAUAAGAUUGUUUGGCAUCUUAUUAAUUUAUUGGGUGUUAAUUUGGUGAAGUCCUUGCCUAUGAGAAUCAUCAAUCCUGCUACUGAAGAAAUCAUGGUCCUUUUCUCACCCUAAGCAUUUCUGUCAAUUAAAUUAAUUUCUGGGUUGUUUUUUAAAUUUAAUUACUGUUUAAUCAUUGCAUUUGAUCGUGUGUAGGAUCUAGAAGGAGGAGAGGGAUAGUCGUUGGUGCAGUGGUGGUGGUCGGUGUUGAGCGGGAGUGGGAGGGACGGCGGCGGUCCUAGGGACAAGGACUCAUUUUGAAAAACUAACGAGGGUGUAGGAAAGUUUCAUUAAACAUGCACUGUUGCUCUGCAUGUUUUGGAAAAGGGCUAGAUUUUCAAAGCUAUGUUUUGCUGCUUGAGCUUUUAGUCUUUUUUUUCACCCUCAAUUUAAAAAAGCUGGUUUUAGAGUGUUUACCAAACACUAAAAAGACCCCAAUUUAUCUUCAUACCUGCAUUUUUUUUUUUAAUUUCAGCUGUACCAAACUGGUACUAAGAGCCACAGACUUUCUUUAAUUACACUAUAUUUUUGUUGCACCUUACAAGAGUGGUAUUUAAUCAAUCACAUAAACAUGUACCUAACAAAUAAUAUAGUGCAUCCUCUAUGGAUAUGAAAAACUGCAACAAAUUUCAAUGUUAAUCCAGGUGUGCGUAGGAGCGAUAUGUUUGUAACUACCUCCAGGGUAUAUGUAUGAUGGCUCAUCAGAAAUUUUUGAAUGAUGGCUUAUCAGAAAUUGGAAACCAAAAUAGCUCCCAUAAUUGAUUAGGGGCUAUAUCUAUGAUGGCUUAACAGAAAUUUUUAUCUAUAAUAAUGCUUUGCACUUCGAAAACUAGCUAGUUAUUUCUCAUUGAUUUUGUUAAUAUAUCUUCUUGUAUUUCUUGGGUAUUUAAUGUUCUUCACAAUAUUCACUUUACAAAGUUCAAGCUCUAGUCAAGUUUGAUUUACUCUUCGUUCUGUUCUAAACGCAGAUCUUCUACGGCCCGGGCUCGUACUCGAAUAUUUCGGUAAGAGCUUUGCUGAUAUAUAUGAUAUCCAAUAUUGAGCAUAUACAUUUUUUUUUUUUGGUAAAUAUUGAGCAUAUAUACUUUGAUUCAAGGCAACAAGUCAAUUUCUUUUCUCAUGAUGUUUUUUGUGAUUUACUCCAAUGUUCAGUACUAUCUGUCGGGGCAAAAUUUCUACUUGGGGCACCAUUCGUGACUGCGUUUUUGAUCUAUACAUGGAAAAGAAGACAUUUGUCAAUGUACAACUCCAUAGAAGAAUUUUUGCAUGGUGAAAAGACUUUAGUGCCAAUAAGGUACUCGUACUCGAACAUCAAGAAGAUGUCUAACAAAUUUAAAGAAAAACUUGGUGAAGGAGGGUAUGGAUCAGUUUUUAAAGCAAGGUUACGGAGUGGACGUUUUGGGGCAAUUAAGAUGUUGGAUAAGCCCAAAGGCAAUGGACAAGAUUUCAUCAGCGAGGUAAAUACGAUUGGGAGGAUUCACCAUGUUAAUGUGGUUCAGCUUGUUGGUUAUUGUGUUGAAGGAACAAAGCAUGCUUUGGUAUAUGACUUCAUGCUCAACGGAUCUCUUGAUAAAUACAUUUAUUGCAAAGAAGGAAGUAUCCCAUUAAGUUGCAAGACAACGUACGAGAUUGCACUUGGAGUGGCCCGAGGGAUCAAAUAUCUACAUGAAGGUUGUGACAUGCAAAUUUUACAUUUUGACAUCAAGCCUCACAAUAUUCUUCUUGACGAGAAUUUCGUACCAAAGAUUUCUGACUUUGGGCUGGCAAAAUUAUACCCGGUAGAUAAUAGUAUUGUGUCUCUAACAGCAGCAAGGGGUACAAUGGGAUACAUGGCUCCUGAGCUAUUCUACAAGAAUAUUGGCGGUGUUUCGUUUAAAGCGGAUGUUUAUAGUUUUGGAAUGUUGUUGAUGGAAAUGGCAAGCCGAAGGAAGAAUUUGAAUGCAUUGGCAGAGCAUUCAAGCCAACUUUACUUCCCGUCAUGGGUUUACAAUCAAUAUAAUGAAGGAAAAGACUUCGAGGUGGGAGAAGUUGUGGAGGAGGAAAAACCAUUAAUAAGAAAAAUGAUUAUAACCGCCUUGUGGUGUAUACAAUUGAAGCCAAGCGAUCGACCAUCAAUGAAGGAAGUCCUACAGAUGCUCGAGGGAGAUGUUGAAUUGCUUCGAAUGCCUCCGGAGCCUCUUCUAUAUCCACAAGAGAUGCCCGUAGGUGCUCCUAAUGAUAAUCCGAAUCCAUCAUAUUCCAAGGUGGAGUUAACAUCUUCUUUGACGGGUAGGUGAAGACACGCAACUAGCAUGGACUCUGUCAGUUUGAAUCUCAAUGCAAUGUUUCUGGUUUUGUAGUCGUACUGUGUGCAUGUACAUUGAAUGUUAAAACUCCCUUUCAGUGAUGUUAAAUAUGUUGUUUAGUACAACAUAUUUUCAUGAUUCCAGGGAUAAAUAACAUAUUUCAUGAAGGACAUGUUGUAUGAUUCAUGAAGACGAUAUUUUCUAAUUUUUGUUCCAAGAAAUUAUUAGUUGUGAUGAUUGUUCGCUCGUGCUGGUAAUUCUGGUUCUCAUGGGCUCACGCUGGCUGCUCUUACAUAGCUCCGGUUGUUAUUUGUCCGUGUAGGGAGGGACCUCCCUAGUCAAUAUCGAAAACCUUUUUUUUUUUUCUUCUUGUGAGUACAACAAUAUUUUUACACUAAGGGAGGGCGGUUCGUCUAUGCCACACAAUGGACAACCUAAUUUGGUAUCGAAUUUUCCAUCUACAAGAUUCGGACCUAAGACCUCUUACUUACAAGCGAAGAGGAAUAUACUGAGUGGCAAUAUUCGAAACCUUUUAGUUUGCCAAGUCAUUUCUUAGUUAGAAGUUUUUUAAGAGAGUUGAGGUUCCACCGUAAAACCAAUUGGUAACAUGAGAGUAGUCUAAUUACUUAUAAGCACAUGUAAGGUCUCUUCUUUCUCCGACGUGGAAUUCAUUUUCUAAAAAAUUUGUCUGAGAAUCCCUCCUUUUCUAUUUGAAAUGCUGCCUGCUCUGUACUGUGCAACCAGUUUAUAGCUUUGGUGGAGGACUCAGCCUCAUUAUAAUUUCCUAAGAUUCUUGAACGUAAUGUCUAUCACUCGCUGGAGCAUCAUUGUGAUUGUAAGCCAAAUGGAAGAUUUGUUGAUCACAUCCUUGGUGAAGAUAUUCAAUUCCUUUGGCAAAUGGCUACAUCUUGCAGCUUAUCCCACAUGCAGUGAUCUAAUGAACAACAGCUCGUCUAAAUCCAUAAACGCAGAGCCAACCAAGGGAAUAGCAUGGUUGAUAUGACCCAUUGUUCCCCCUUUAUUUAUGAACUCUUCCCGAUCUCCCCUUCCAAUUGUAUAAUAUCUUGUGGUUCACCGCCUCGUAUUUCGGAUACAUUGAAAUAUCUCUAAUUUCUUAGAACUAUUGAGAAUCAACAGAAGAUAGCUUUCCUUUAAAAACAGUUCCACAUAUAGGCUCCUAGGCCUAACUUGUCUAUGAACUGAAUUGUAAUCCCCUUACUAUCGGGAUACGAAUACCUGCUCGGUUUGAGAGCCUUGUAAUCCUCCAAAAAUCUUUCAAUUUUUAAUCAAUUCACUCUCAUUUUCUUUUAUAUCGGAGCAAUAUACUUGAUAUGCUGCAACAAGUAGUAAUACAACUAAUGAUUCCAGGGAUGCACCUGUAAAUUAAACCUGGAGUAAAUAUUUCCAGGGACACCCGAAUCAGAAAUUUAUUUUGCCUGGUUUUUGAGUUUUUAGGAUAAAUCACUUUUAUUUUCACGUACAAAUCUUUCCGUUGCACAAAAACAUUCGCUAGAGACCAAGGAUCUAGAGUUGGGCCCUUAUCCCCACACUUGAAUUCUUUGCAGGUAUUUUGGGUUUCUCCAUGCACUUUGGAGAUGAAGAGUAAGAUUAAGUAAAAGGAAGAAAUGAGAGUUUUCUGCACUUUUGAGGUCAUACUAUUGCUCAUGGAUUUGUUUUUGAGAUGAACAAACUAUCAGUAUCUGGAUGGAUAUGCAUGUGCCCAAUCCAAUAUCAACAUGUCGGAGAAAAUUAGUUAAGUUGGUCAAGGCACCGGCACCGUAAGGUUUUGGUUCAAUAAAACUGAUGUGUAAAUUUUAAACACAUGAUAUUAUUUUAGGGCACUUUAACGGAAAGUUCCUGAUGAUACUGUUCACUUUAACAAAAAAACCACAUUUUUACACUAAAAAAUCAAUCAUGGUACUAUUCACUUUACCCUUUAUUUAAAACUUAAAGUUUUCAAACUUUUUUCAUUAAUUUUCCUAUUAUUUUAUAGGUCAGGCUAUCAUCACCUUGUCAGUGCUCCCAUUCAAUAUAAGUGGCAUCAUUAGCUAGAGGGACUCAAUGAAACCGAUGUUUAGUCCAUAUGGUGUCACUGUCAAAUAAUAUCUCGCCAUGUGUUCAGAAAGUACUCUAUCCAUCCGAUGAGUGACGGACAUAUGGUGAAUGGUGUGUGAGAAAAUCUCUCCAUUAGCUGAGAGGAUUAUGGAAAAGAGAAAAUUGCAUAAACAGUACUUGGACAUUUUCACCUUUGUGCAUCUAGCGUCCAAACUAAUAAAAUUACUUGACUACCCAUACAUUUCGACAAUACUAGAAAUUGCUAUCCGCGUGUUGAUGCGGGAUAAAGAAUUGUAAGAAAUAUUAUGUAUGAAAGAUAUAAAAAUUUGCUCAUUGUGAUAGAAGAUUAAUAAUAUUUACAUUGAAAACAUUAGAAAGAUGUUCAUGUACCAAAGAUUAAAUCGAUAAAGCUGACGUACAAAAAAUCAUAGCUCAACGUAAUACAACUUUUCAUAAAAAAUUUGACUAAACCAAAAACCAAACACAUGAAAGUCAAACUUUGAGAUCCAAUUAUCUUCCCAAGCUUCAAAAUCGAAUUCAAUCAACUUAAUUACACUGACAAAUCAAUAAUAUCAAAAUCAGCUAGGACCAACUCAAACAACCCAACACCCCCACAUCAACACACACAACUAAUACAGAAUCUAUUUGACCUCAUAAAAAUGAAAGGAAAACUAAUGAAAAAGGCUUGAAAACUUUGAGUUUUAAUCAAAAUGACAAAAAUGUGUUGUAUGUGAAUAGUGUCAUGAGUGAUUUUUUAAAGUAAAAUUGUCAUUUUUUCGGGAGUGUUUUGUUAAACUCCCAAAAAUGAAAUAUGCAGAGGAAUAGAACAUUUUCCAAAGUAUAAAAUCCAAACGAAAUUUCUGACCUCUCCUCCUUGAGCAUUUUCAAACACUUCCUUGCAAAUUGAAUUGGCAACACACCGUUGAUGUUGUUGAUGUUGAUAUGUAGCUGUUUAUCCAAGGAAAACAAAAAAUAAAAACAAAUUGAAAGACAGUUAUUUAGCGAGAGUCGAUAAUAUCAUUUUUGCCUUAAGAGAAGCAACAUAGAAAUAUACAACUAACUAAAAAUAAAUUUUUACAGAAAUAUCUCCCAAAAUAUGUGGAGCUACCUGAUUAAGUGGGUUCUUUGGCGUUCCAUACUCAGCAGCUAGAAAACCAAAAACAUGUCAUGCAUUGCAGAGAAGGUUAAUGGGAUAAACGUCAAGUUCAUCAAUCAUAUUUGCAUGAUAGAAGCUGCUGGAAUAAAUUCAAUCAUAUUCAUUAUCCAAUCUAGAAAAUUUAAAAUGUAAACAUACAAAAGAUAUACAUAUAUAUUAUAUUUCUGUCUUUGAUAAGUGCUUUGCAGACAAUCACACUUUUUUUUCUCUUAUUUUGAAAGAAGUAUAUUGUCUGCAAUUUUAUUAAAGUAAAUAAAAUAAUAUAAUAUUAGAACAAUGCCCUUAAACUAUGAACAUUUAAUGUGGAGAAAUUGGAAGUUGAAAUAAGUCGAAUACGACAUAAGACAGAGGAGAAAAUUCAAAGAAUAUUGUGAUCAAAAUCGGAACUCAGUGAGAGUUCAACAGAAAGAUCAAUGGAAAAUGCACUCACACACCAACUUGAAAGAAAACCUAGUGUCAAAUCAUUGUGUCAGAAAUAGAAAAAUGCAAACUUUAUAUGGAAAAUGAAGAUUUACUUGCAGACUGGCAGCAACAAAAGCAAACGGAAUACAACAGGAGUUACUGCAAUAGUGAGAGGGAGGAAGAGAGAUUAAAGAUGAGUGAUCAGUUAAAGCUAUAAUUUUUCAAGCAUGUUCUGCAAUAUGAAUCAUUUAGCUAUCACAAUAACAUGCUUGAAAUAAACAAUAUGCUUGGAAUAAACAAUUUUUCAAGCAUGAUUGAAAUAAACAAUAUGCAUAAUUGUGGUAUUAAAAAAAAUGCAAUAUCACCAACAUUCAUGAUCAUUAUCCGGAAUUGUUAAAGUAAAAAAGAAAAUCAAAUUAACAUCUCUCUAAUCUAUCUUCCUAUUGUAUUUUGAUAAGGUUUAUACCAAACAAUGUUUCCACCAAAAUUUAUUAGCAAAAAGAUCACAGUAGAAGUUAACAUGAGAGAAAGAGUUGACCUCUACCUCUUAUAUGUUGAUCCUACCAAUCCCCGGCAUACUUGAUCUCUUUUAAGUCCACCUGUAAAAAGAAAAAAAACACAAAAUUUGUAACACAAUUUGAACAAAAAGAGAGUUCUCAAUUAGAGAAAACUUCAAUUUCAUGUAAAGAAAUUGUGUUCUAAAUUCAAGGCUUAACUAUGCAAUAUUGGGAUUUGUGUUUAGCUCAAAUAAGUAAGAUGAAAUGAUAAGGAAGUUUCGUCCGGCUGGAAGACGUUAAAGCAAGCGCUUCUUGGGAGGCAACUCAUGUAUUCAAAUAAGGAAGGUUUUUUAAUUGCUCCACAAUCAAUUUUGCGUUUCUAUAAACCUUCCCUUUUCUGUAGUUUUAUUUUGCCAUGAUUGUCAUUUUUAUUUGUUGCUUGUUUAAUUGUUUUUUGUGUGGGUUUAUUUUUUUUGAAACACUGACAGUUAUGCAAGGUAUUUUUACAUUCAUAAAAAAGAAGGGAACAUUAAGCAGAUAAAUACAAGAGGAAGCCUUCACAAAGGCUACUUAGGAGAAAUCUUAGUAGUCGGCGGAGCCUCAGCAGUCGACGGAGCCCCAGAAGAAUGAGGCAUUGGAGGUUGAUCAUUUGGAGCUUCAUUACGCGGUACAGCCUCAGAAGACGAAGGCAAAUGUUGUUGGAACAAACCCAUAAACCUCUGAUGAUCAAGUAAAAUCUGACCAUCAGAUUCCUGCAUCUGGUCAAUCUUCCUCUUCAUGUUUGUAGCAUAGUUAUGUGCGAGCCUGUGCAACUGUUUAUUCUCAUGCUUAAGCCCUCUAAUCUCCUUCUUGAGACUCAUCACUUCAGCCGCCAAUGAUUCAACUUGACGGGUUCGGGCAAAUAGGCGUUGGGCCAUAUUGGAUAUGGAACCUGCGCACUGCACACUGAGAGCCAGAGAAUCCUUAACAGCCAACUCAUUAGACCGUUUGGCAAGUAGUCUGUUAUCUUUGGGAGUGACAAGGUUCCUAGCCACCACCGCAGCUGUCAUAUCAUUCUUUAUCACUGAAUCCUCAACGGUAAGGGGACCAGUAGGGGAUAUGAAGGAUGGGCGCAAUAUGUUGUCUGGAGAAGGCGGGACUGCCUCUUCACCAAGGUUCAAGUCAAAACGACGGUCGGAGGGACCAGACAUUUUCAGAGGUGUUAAAGAAAGAAGAGGUCGGACAAGUCAAGAUCGUAGAAGUGCAAGAAGAGAGUUUUUACAUGCAAAAAUUCAAGUGUGCUUUGAACGUCCUAUGUACCUCUAUAAAAAUCAGCACUCUAUGGGAUUUCAGAGAUCGAAGAGGCGAGCUCAGAAGUCGAAAAGGCAAACUCAAAAAUCAAAGAGGCGCUAACUUUCUCAAAAGCUGGGCUUGCUCAGAAACCACGGCCAAUCUUCUUUUCCAUAUUUGUCCGCACUUGUCACAUGCAACCUUUGCACUCGACGGGAUUUCAGAGAUCGAAGAGGCAAGCUCAGAAAUCGAAGAGGCAUCUGCUUUUUCAGACGUGUCAGCAUCUGUCACAUGCAGAGUCAGCUUUGCGGAAAUCACGGGCAGUUUUUCGAAGCGCUUUUCCAGACAUGUCAGCAUCUAUCACAUGCAGAGUCAGCUUUGCGGAAAUCACGGGCAGUUUGUCGAAGCAUCAAUUCCAGAUAUCGAAGAGGCACUUGUUUUUCCAGACGUGUCAGCACCUGUCACAUGCAUACUCAGCCUUGUGGAAAUUACGGGCAAUCUGUCGAAAAUCUCUUGUGAAGUAGAAAGCACGUGAAGUUUACUAUUAAAUCAUCCAACGGUUGCUGACAAGAGUGAAAGAAUAGUACCGGUUAUUAAUUCCUAUAAAUGUCACCCUUCACCCUCCAUUGAAAGGCAGACAUACAUAACCCUUAUUCUUCUCCGAUAAUGCCUUUCCAACAAACCAUCUCGAGUCACUCAGUGUUCCUUAUUCCUUGGGGUACCUCUGCAAACAACUCAUCCAAAACAAAAGUAUUUCAUAUCAUGAAGGUUGAAAGCAAGAGUAUCUCAUAUCAUGCUUUCUCCCUGUCCUUCUCCUUGUCGUUGUUUUGGGACAAGGAGAAAGAGAGCAAUCAGCCAGCACUUGGUAUCAAUCUUCCGAUCUGGAACUGACUGCCUAGAACCCAUUCCUGAUUGCUUACCUAGCCUUGCUCUCGAGUACUCAUCUUCAUCAUUUUAUGCUUCCUCUUCGUCUACCACAUCUGCCUGGGGAACAGAUAAGGGAAGUGAAAAUGAUACCUCGAAGCAUAUGGAGACAAUUUGCCAAUUCAUCCUCAGCUAGGGACAAGGAGAAAGAAAGCAAGAGGUAGGCACUUGGAAAGAUUGAAUAAAGAAACAGACCAACACCUCUACCUCGUGCCUGCCUGCCGUGCAGAAGAAACAAGCAGAGAAGAAUGCAGACUGCACAAUCAAAUCAACCCAACAGAAGGAGUCUGAUUUGAAACCAAGGAACUCUGAUAUUCCUCGCUCAGAAUUCCAAACCAGUUCGAGAUCAAAGCUGUGGAAAGUCAACAAGAUCAUCUAUCUCCAAAACCAGAUUUGCGUUCUUAAACUCUACUUUGUCUGUUUUUUUUUUACUUUGCUAUAUUUGUCAUGUUUAUUCGUUGUUUGUUUAUUUGCUUGUUUUUGUGUGAGUUUAUGCUUGAAACAUUGAGGACAAUGUUUGAUUUAAGUGUGGGGGGGGGGGGGUAACCAUUGUUUUGCAUGAAAUUCUUUGCAUGAAAUUUGUAGGAGUUUAUCACCCAUUACUUCUAGUGUUGUUCCUUGCUGUUUUAAAUGUUUUUAAGCUGUUUUGGAGUGUUUUAGUGUGUUUUGACAUAAAAAUCUGAAAAUCUCAUAAAAAUUUGAAAAAUUGUUUUGAAAAACCCAAAAAGAGUUGUUUUUGUAUGUUUAUUUGUGUCUUAGGAUACCUUCCAACACAAUGAUGAGGAUUUGGUUUUUAAUUACAUGACUGUUAAAGAGUGUUAUAAACAUGGAUGAAAAUUUGAUUUACUCUUUGGUGUAUGCUUGGUUGUGGUUAUAAUUUAUUAAUUCACAUGCAAUCAUAAAAGGAAAAAUCAGUUUUUUUUGUAACAUGCUUGAAAGAAGGAACUCAAACUAACGUUACAUCCUUGAGAGACUUGGGCCUAAACAUUUAUUUGGAGAGUUAUUAAUCUGUGCAAUUUUUUUUGUUUUCUAAAGUCGUUGCAUGAUCUCAUUAUUCUUUGCUUGGUUGCUACUUAGAAGGCGUUUCAUCAUUUAGUUCCAAAUGCUAGAACUCAUGCCUAUUUCAUUCAAAGCAUGUUAUUGAUUUGCAUAACACAUAUUCAAGAUGAAGUUGUUUAGUGAGCCAAGAGCCAAAAAGCCUAUCCCGUUCAUUAUGUGUUUAAGUUUAACCCUGUUGAGCCUUGUGUUGCCUAUGUUCUUUGUUACCCACACUAUCCUCACCUAGCCUAGAUUAGGACCAUCCAUACCCUUGUUCUUGAAGCAUAGUAAAGCAUAAUUUAGAAGGAAUUCAUUUUGUUGAACUCUUGCAGAAAAACAAGUGUGGGGGAAGUGAUUCUUGUGUGUGUGUGUGUCAAAGUCCUUCAUAAGGCACAUGUAGAAAAGGAAAAGGAAAAGAAAAAGAAAAAAUCGUGGAAAAUAGAAUGAAAAUAAGAAAAGUUGUGAAAGAGUUGAAAAUUUUAUGAGAAAGAACUCUAAAGUGUUGUUUGUUGAAGAAAUGGUCCAAAGCAAUGAAUUCGACCCUAAGUGUUGCAUGAAUCUUCCCUUUGUGUUUAAAUGUUGAUUUUUGCAUUCUAAAGUAAAUUCCAAGUGUCGAUUCCAUUACUUUGCUUGUUAUCGCUUUAAGAACGUUUGUUAUUCCUAUCCUUUCUUUGUUAGCCAUUACCCCCAAGCCCUAUUACAACCCUUGACUUCAAUCUUGAGUGUUGUGUGUUUCAGUUUGUGGAGUUUGAAAUUGAUAUGAGCAUAUGGUGUCACUGGUUCUCGCAUCUAAGUAGUAGCAUUCCAUUCAUGAGAUCAUAUAUAUACAUGAAUUAAUAAUUCCAGAAAUUGCUUCUUUGUUGAAAAACAUAUGUGAGUACUAAUUUUCAUGUUUACAUCAAUCUUCUCACUAUACCUAGUAUAGGGAGUGUAGUCAGAAAUUCUUGUGUGAAAAUAAGAGUGUAUCUAGUAAGGAAUUGAGGAAAUUCUCUAAGGCAUGUUACUAUAUUCAAAAUGCUGUUUUAAUUAAUUAAAUGUGAGUUAGUGAAUGGUGACUAUGAUUAAGUAUGCUCGAGGGUAAGGAAUGCUUAAUUCUAUGUAAGUGGUGAUCUUUGGCAUGUCAUGUUUCAUUGAAAAUCCCUUAGGCAAAUGUUGGAAGGUUAGGUUAUGUUUUGUUUGUUUUGUUUCGUUUUGUUUCUUUUGUUUUGCUCGAGGACUAGCAAAAGCUAAGUGUGGGGGAAUUUUAUAGGAGCAUAUUUAUGCAACUUAGUUAGCUUGUUCUUGUGCAUUUGUGUUGUUAUUUCUUAGUUAAUUAUGUAUUUUAAGCUAUUUUCGUGUGUUUGUAGGUCAUAAUAUCAAAGUUGACAAGAAAGUGCAUUUUGGAGCAUUUUAGAGUAUUUUUGAGCCAAGAUUGGAUAGUGCAAGCAUGGAGACAUGAGGAUGGACGUUUUUUGAAGAUUUGAAAGCUAGAAAUUAGCAUGUGUGUGUGCAAGUGUGUUGACCUACAACUCUAAACAUCCACCCACUACACCCAUUACAUCCACUCAUUACCAAACACUCAUCCAAUACACCCAUUACAUCCACUCAUUACCAAACAUCCACUCACUACACCCAUUACAUCCACUCAUUACCAAACACUCAUCCAUUACACCCAUUACAUCCACUCAUUACAACUUCAUACACUCAUCUCCCUAGCCUAUAAAUACAUCCACCCUUCACCAUAAUUUGGAAGAGCCUUCAUCCAAACACAUCCAUUUAUCUUCACAUUCAUUCCUCCAUACAAACAAACCUUCAAACACUCAUCAACACCUUGUGCCGUAGCAAAGGAAGGGAAGGAAAGUGCUUGGACGUGCUUGCUGUCCAACUUGGAUUUUUGGAGCGUUUAGGUGUUUUCUUUCUUUUGUUUUUAAUGUUUAAAUUCAUUUCCUUUCGUUUUGUUGUAAAUAUGAGUGGCUAAACCCCUUUUGGCUAGGGGUGAUUUCAAAGCCAUGAUUAUGUGUGUAAUAUGAUUUGAUAAAUUCCAGUUAUGAACUCUUGAAUCGUAAAUGCAAUUGGCUUAACUAUUUGAUUGAUAACUUAUUUGUAUUUGUUAAUUAAGGGUCGACACUUAAUUGGCAUGCAUAAAUCCGUUGCUAGAAUAUAAGGAAGUUUCACAUAAUCGUUACAAACUUAUAUUCACAUGUAGUCAAGGUCGCUUAUAAACGAUCGCGUUAAGUUCAAUUCCUAGCAUGAGUGACAUGAUGUCAUAAUUGCAAGUGCUUUGUCAAUGCUUAUGAUUUUCAUUAAACGUAAUGAUCUUUGAUUGUAUCUCUAUUAUGAUGUCAUGUAGGGAACUUUAGAAGAAUGUUUUGGGUUGUCGAAUGAUGUCAUCCAAUCCAAUAAAAACAAGGAAAAUCUGAGAGUUAAUUAGUGAUGUCACGGUUAAUUUGGAGCAUUGUCAUUCAUAAUUCAAUGAAGUAGUAAUUGGAAAUUGAGUUAUUUGCAUACAUGUCAUGUGUGGAGAAAAAUCUUGUAGCUAUCCUAUCCAUUAUCUUAUUUCUCAAAUUUGUUUUACAAUCUGUCUAGUUUUUCAUACUUGUUUGUUUGUUACAACUUCCUCCAAAUCAAAACCCCCACUUUUAGUUUCUUGUUUCAAAGUGUUUCAAAUCUGUUUUAGUUUGUGUUUUUAAGUGUUUUGAUUCAAGUAAAAGUCAAUUUUCGUCCAAAGUGAUUCCUAGUGUCUAGUUUAAGUUUAUUUGGUUGUUUUAAGCUGUUUUGAGUAUUUUAAAUUUGCUUUGAGUCUUGUGAGUCUUGUUAAGUAUUUUUAAGUUUAGUUUUAUGUUUUUAAGUCAAUUUAAAGGUUAUUAGCAAGCCCUUCUAAUCCCCGGUCCAGAACGAUCCCUACUUAUAGUUAAACUACAAUUGUCAAAAGAGGGUUAAAUUUGUGUGCUUAUAUAUUUCGCAUCAGUUCUUCAUUUUUUAGGGUUUUGGAUUUGGGAUUUCACGGCCACACAAUUGGUGGUGUCGCCGUUGUCAUCCGUGUGUGUAUGUCGGAGGAGGAAAAAAAAAGUGAACAAUGAAAAGGAGAGGAAGGUGUGAAACUGUCAAAAUAGUAAUAUUAAAUAAAAUAUAAUAAUAAUAUAGUGUUAUACCUUUUUUGGUCAUUUCACAUAGUCACAGCCAAGGAUGAAAAUAUCGGUAAUAUCGGAAAUAUCGGUAGUCUGAAAACACGGAAAUAUCGAUGGAAAUAUCGGGAUAAUAUCGAUAUCGAUAAAAAUUACAUGGAAACCACGGAAAUUGUAAGAAAAACUUGGAAAUUUUUAUUGAAACUUUGCAGGAUGUUUAUUUAGUCAAUUAUCUAUUAGUUUAUCACAAAAAAUUGGAAGGAAAUGCAUUGCAUGAUGAAUUUAACAUUAUCAAGUUGAUUAUAUAGCGAGCUGACAAACAUUGUGAGUGUAGAAAAUAUGUAGAAAUUAAUGAAAGAAGUCUAAACACACCAUAAUCAUUUAUAUAUAAUGAAUUAGUACAAUAUUUUACACUUUAUACAUUGUAUGGUAAGAUACAUGAGUGACUUAGUACCACAUAGAGUUCCUAUGAGGUUCAAAAUUUUCACUAUCUUCAUCAUCUCUAUGUGUAGAGUGAGUGUAUUUUGAAGAGUAGUUAGCAACCAUGACAAUGGUUUUCAAGAACCAAAACCCAAAAGUCAAUAGGAAACCGAAUACUUCGGUAUUUUUCAGGAUUACCAAACAAAUGGGAUUUGGAAACCAAUCCCAUAUCGAAAAUUUCGGUAUUUUUCGGGAUGGGAUUCCUGAACUUCAGGAUGGUUUUUUGGUUUGGGAUUUUUCGGUUUGGGUUUGAGACUUUUUUCGGUUUGGUUUGGGAUUUUCCGGAAUUUUUUCCAGCCCUACCAUGUAAGUGACCAAAUAAAAAAUAGAAAAAUUAAAAACCACAUGCCAUUGACUAAGUAAUUAAUUAACACAAUUUAAAAUAUAAUACCACAAAAAAUUUGGAAAAUGUGCAAAUUUGUUUCUUGUAAAAAGAAUUCAAAACAAAAGCAUAUAUAUUAAUAUUGUAGCAUAUUAUCAUAACAACACAAGUGGUAUAGUGGUUAAGGCCUUAAGGAGUUAAGUGGGAGGGGUUCGAACCCCUCCAUGCUCAAACUUGAGACUUUUCAAAAUUUUCAGGAAUUUUUGGACUAAUAUCGCGAUAUUAUAGCUAAUAUCGCGAUAUUUUGACGAAAACUCAUUGGAUACUCAUUAAAAUAUCGAUAAUCCAAAAAAACGAAAAUAUCGCCGAUAUAUCGGCGAUAUUUUGGAUAUUUUCUUCCAUGGUCACAGCUGUUUUAUAUAAAAGUUUACCAAACACUAUCAUACUGCUUUUUUUUUUUCCAAAAGCACUUUUACAAAAAAGUUUACCAAACACUAUCAUACUGCUUUUUUUUUUUCCAAAAGCACUUUUACAAAAAAGUUUACCAAACACUCUGCUGCUUUAUUUCAUAGUCGCUUAUUCUCACAUCAACUUUUUUUCAAAGCACAGCAAUACCAAACCAGCCCUAGCUGUGUCACGCGUGGUUCCAUUCGAUCGAAAAUUCUCACUCCAGGUACGCAUCUUAAAUCCCCUUUUGUAUUUGGGGUAUUCGCUGAUUUACCCCAUGAACUUGUAAGAAAUAGUCAAUUUCCCCCCUGAACUUUAAUUUUAGCCAAUUACCCCCAUAAACUUGUGUAAAUCACCAAUUUACCCCCUGCCGUUAUAUUUUAGACUUUACCAUCCAAUUCACCAUCCAAUUCGAUCACGUGCUCGGCACAUGCUAAUGAUGUGAGGAAAAAAUGGUAAUCAUACACCACAACCAAACCUAAUCGUUGUUAGGUAUAUGGAGAAGCAGGGGAAGGCGAGCCACAAAGAAUUGGGCAUUCUAGGGUUACAGUCUGAGAAAAGAUAUGGAGAAUAGAUGGUGAAAUCAACAAAUUGCUACCAAAUAUUGAAGGUAUUUUGAGUUUUGAAGUUGAGAACGAUGAGUAUCGUGGUCAGGGAUGGUGGGCAUCCUCCAAGAUACAGUAAGUCUUCACUUUUUCUUUUUCAGUUUGUUUAAUAUGUGAAAGGUUUGCUUUAUGUGUUAUUUUUCUAGUCGUGUGUGUAUAUUGGGUCCCUUGAUUGUUUUAUUCAGUUCUAUGUCCCACACCCUCCCACCCUAAUCCUAGCCCAGCCACACCCACACGCCAUUCUACCUUUUAAAUUUUUCAAGAAGGGGAUGGGAGAGAGUAUGGCCCUGAUGUGGAUCUAACUUGUUUUGUUGAGUCGAGGUAUCCUCGUAUUUAGCAAGAAACACCAUUUGCCGAGUCUCUUAAUUUACCUUCUCUAAGCUGCAUAAUCUCGAAUUUAUUUACUGUAUUAUGGUCUUUUGAUUUGCUAUAUAGUAUUUUAUUUUUUUUGUUUGUUUGUUUAUGAACUCUUUUGAUUCAUGCUUGCUUCCAUAGAUUGUGCCCGAAAUAAAUAGGUUUGUUUGUAUAACAGGCAAAGCCAAUAAUUAGUAAAUUAUUUUCUUUUGCUGGAAGCUUGCAUAUAGAUUGUGGCCCAAAAUAUUUAGCAAGCUAUUUGCUACUUGUUUGGAUAACAAACCAAGCAAAUUAUUCCCUCUUGCUUCAAGCUUCAUAGAUGAAAGAUCUAACAAACAAGCAACGUUGCAGGUCUUUGCUGGUAUAAUCUUUUUGGUGUAGCAUUGUUGGCACUUCCUGUAUACUAUCAACUUUGCACAUAUAAUAUGUUUAGUUGUUGCUUUUAUUGACUUUCUUUAAAUAAUUAGCAAGUUAGGUUAGUAAAUGUUGUAUAUUGGUGGAUAUUUGGUUAGUAAGUGUUGUUUGGUGAUCCUGAUUAUAUUGUGAUGUAUUUGUUGUAGGUAAUCAUGACCUAUUCACUUGAAAUACACCAUGGUGGUCACUUUAAAGCUGGUCAGUAUGUGGGUGGUAUUGUACAGUGGGUUGACAAUUAUACUAAAGGUUAUAUGUCCAUGCUUGAUCUAUAUGCCAAAUUAACGUUUUUUGGUGGAUGUUGUUAAGUCUGUUGCAUAUUUUUUGUGGAUGCUAGGUGCAAGGCUGUUAAGUCUAUUGCAUAUUUUUUGUGGAUGCUGUUAACUUUAUUAAAGCACUCGAAGUAAGAAUCGUUAAUUUCAUUUUGGUAAACUGGGCACUAAGCCAAUAUUUUUCAGUUGCUAAUUAGACUUCUAUAGCUAAUUUAGACAAAAUUGUACGGAGUGAACUAGUGGAAGAGAAGAAGAAUAAAGAUAGAAUGUCUACAUUAGGGAUAAAAUUAUUUUUUUACCCUUAAAAAUUUGGCAUGUGCCAUGCAUGUGACCGAGUUGGAUGGAAAAUUGGAUGGAAAAUUCUCAAAUCUAACAUCAGGGGGUAAAUUGGCUAAUUACAAAAGUUCAUGGGGGUAAUUGGCUAAAAUUAAAGUUCAAGGGGGAAAACGACAAAUACCUCUUUGUAUUUUUAUCUUUCCUGAUUGAUGAUUUAAUUUGGGUUUUAUUAAUAGUUUAAUUUGGAGUUUAACUGAAGGUUUAAUUCAGGUUUAUAGUUGGGGUUUAAUUCAGAGUUGAGAUGUAUUCGUGGUGAGUUUUUACUGAUAAUUCAUCUUCAUUCAAAUGAAUAGUUAAAAUUUACAGUGAAUGAAGAAAUUUAUGAGUUUUAACAAAUUUGUAAAUUAUUCUUAUACAUUUUAUUGAGGGGUAUGGGGAUCUAAUCGAUUUUUCUCUGUAGUGGGAUUGAAAAUUGGGACUUUGUCUCUCUCCCUCUCUCCUAUGUGUAUGAAUCGAGUUCUGAAGUGCGUAUGCAAAUGGGCAUGUUCACUAACUAAGCUUUCAAGGGGAGCGCAUCAAUGGUUUGCUUGCUGGGGGGAUACGGAGACUACUGGUGUAUGAUUGGUUAUCUUUUAUUUUUUAUUUAAAUUAUCCAUAUAUAAUGUGGGUAUAUUUAUAAUAAAGAAUUGUGAUAAGCCAGUGUGCCAUACGACUUUGAAAGCAUUGAUUUUGGGGUAAAUUACAUAAUAGCCCCUCAGGUUUGAGGUCUAUUUGCAAUCUUAUACAACAUCUUUAAAACAUUUCACUUUCAUACCUUAAGUACUAUUUUAUUUCAAUUUCAUACAACCGUUACAUUUUUCAUCUAUGGAUAUGUUAAAUGCUAACGUGGCUGCCACAUAUAUGUCAUGUGGCUGCCAAAUGUCUGCCACGUGGCAAAUAAAAUAAUUUUUAAUUUUUUUCUAAAAAACCUAAAUUGGAAGGAAAAAAAAAGGGACCGAACCCCUGCAACCCAAGAAGAAGAGAAGAAGAAAGAGGAGGAGGAGGAAGAAGAAGAAGAAGAAGAAAAAAGAAAGAAAGAAAGCGACCGAACCCAGAAGAAAAAGGAGGAAGAAGAAGGAGGAAGAAGAAGAAGAGAAGAAGAAAGAGGAGGAGGAGGAAGAAGAAGAAGAAGAAAGAGGAGGAAGAGAAGAAGAAAAAAAAAAAAAAAAAAAAGGGACCGAACCAGAAGGAGGAAGAAGAAGAAGAGAAGAAGAAAGAGGAGGAGGAGGAGGAAGAAGAAGGAAAAAAAAAUGAUCGAACCCCCUGCAACCCAGAAGAAGAAGGAGGAAGAAGAAGAAGAGAAGGAGGAGGAGGAAGAAGAGAAAGAAGAAGAAAAAAAAAAAAAAAAAAAAAAAAGGACCGAACCCAGAAGAAGAAGAAGAAGAAGAAGAAAGAGAGAAAAAAAAAGUGGCAGAUAGGUUUUUUUUUUAAAAAAAUAAAAAAUUAUUUUAUUUUCCACGUGGCAGACAUUUGGCAGCCACGUGGCAUAUAUGUGGCAGCCACAUCAGCAUUUAACAGAUCCAUGGAUGGAAAAUGUAACAGUUGUAUGAAAUUGAAAUAAAAUAGUACUUGAGGUAUGAAAGUGAAAUGUUUUAAAUAUGUUGUAUAAGAUUGCAAUAGACCUCAAACCGGAUGGGUUACUAUGUAAUUUACCCUUGAUUUUGUGUUUAGUUUGGAUUUUUGCGUUUGAAUUUGUAGCAUGAUCUUCCAUUGCAGCAUCCAAAUUUUGCAUUUGUAAAUUGUAAAAGAAAAAUGAAGUAUGAGGAAAUUAUAGGACAUUGUGUUGGCUUUGGCCAUUAAGGGUAUUAGCAGGUUGUUCCCCCAUACAGGUGAUUAGUUAGGUUGUGUCGUGGGUUUUCGCAAAUUUCUACCGUGUUUAUACAUGCAUUUUUUGUUAUAGAUUUGGAAGAAAAUAGCAUUACAGGGUGUUCAAUUCCUUAGGUUACUGUUGGACUAGCCAUGUUAUAAUUUUCAAUUGAUUUCUUCACUGUUCGGACUCUCUGCAUUAUAAAUUAGGGGUUUUAGAUUGUGUUUCCUUUCUGUGUUGUUUUUUUUUUUCUGCCGUUUCUUUUCCUCAUUGCCUUUGAAGAAACGAAGUUACAGGUUUGUUUUCAAUUUCUUAUUUACAUGCCUUCAUAUUCAAUGGAAAAUUGGUUUCUUUUAUUUCAACUUUAACUUCAAAAAUGGUUUUAAAUUUACGUAUUUUGUCUUCAACUCUAUUGCUUCCAUGCUAAUUAAGGUAGAUUAAUAAGUUUUGCAACAGAAACAACUAAAAACCAAGUUGGCCUGCAGGGUUAUCCGUUUGUGUAUUAUAUGGAUAAUUCUAGGACUUACCAUAUCAUGUUCCUAACUUGAUGCUCUGGGCAUCUUCUCCUACUAAUAAUAGUGGCACCUUAAUUUGAUCAACCAAAUUUGGUGAAGCACCAGACAAACAGAAACCCAUGCAUACAGAGCCAACUGCACUGAAGCAUGAAUUGAAAAAAAUAAUGUACAUGAUUAUUUUUCCACUACUUAAUUUGUUCCAAGUCACCACAAAUUUCUCUGCAUUAUGGUUGUUAGGACAAUAGAUUAGGUUGCAAGAUAAAUUUCCAAAGUUCUACUAGCUUAGUUACAAAUUAUUUUUCAGAAAUCAAGCGUGCAAAAUUGUUGUGCAUGUUUUGAAAUUGGUUGUAGGAAAUGGGCUUCCAAGUUCCAAGUCUUAACAAUAAUGGACACUAUGAAAUCAGGGUAACCAAAUGAGGAUAACUAUAUACUUCAAAAAUGCAUAUUUUAUAUAUAUAUAUAUAUAUAUAUAUAUAUAUACACACACACACACACAUACAUACAUACACACACAUAUACGUUCUAUCAAGAAUCAGAUUUGAUUGGCACAGCUGAAGAUGAAGAUGAACAAUAUGAGGCUAGCUAGGAGCUGAGUAAAUUGCAUUGAUUACCAUGUUGUAUUGGCCUAGCUACUCUGCAGUUAUUCUUCAAGGUUGGAUAUAAUGUAUCUACCUAUAUAAUCUCAGCCCGGGACACACACACACACACACACACACAGACAUGUCUCGGGCUGAGAAAUAUGAACAAUUAAUGGGUUUUCUAUUCAAAUUUACUUUUUUGUGAUUUUAGGGGUUUUGUUUCUAUUCCAAUUAAUGUGUUUAAUUGGUUUUGUUUUCAGUUUCAGGAGACCCUGAUUUUUUCGUUUUUUGGGCAUUUUCUUUGCAGCCUUGGAAGCCCUCUGUGCUCAAGGCAAACAAUUUCAACUUUUUACUUCUAAAGCGUAGCUCUUAUUUAGCAGUAGGUACUCCGUUGCAUACAAUAAUAUGUUUUGUGUUAUGCUGUUUUACCCUUUUGUCACUCUGUGCACUCAGAAAAUAAGCCACCCUAAUUCAAGCUUUCUAUCUUCAGAUCACUAGCAAUAAUCUCAUCAAGGUCCCAGGAGGAAUCACGAGGAUUCACUGCCGAAUUGGUAUGUACUUAUGCUUUUGCAAAAAGCCCUUUUCUUGCCAUUUUUCUAUUUUAGAAUUGGGACCAAAAUGAUUGAGUGAUUUUGAAAAACACAGAGAUAGAAAAAAUGGCUAUCAAGCAAGCAGGCCGUGAGUAUUUAGACAUAUAAUUUUCGGUCAAAUGAAAUAGUUGGCACCACAAGCUUUUAAAUAGGGAGGGAUGUUUGAUUAUAUAUUUAAAUUAAGCAACGAAUCUUGCAUAAGAAAAUGAUCCAAGUUGAAGUAAACCAAAUAUAUGGUGCAACAACUGUUACUUUGGUCAAUCUUCAUCACACUAAUUAAAUGAGCUCGAGGGGUUGAUUUUCACAGUAACUACUGACUUUUUAGUAUGUUCCGGAUUAUUUGAUAGUGUUAAUUACUUUUUACAUUUUUGAGGUCCGGAGUGAUUUUUAAAAUGGGUUAUGAAUUUUAAUUUUCUCAUAUUACACUCUUUGCUUCAGAUUUUCCACGUUUUGACUUGGACUUCUUUUUUACUUUGUUCUGUUUGAAGAACUUAGUACUUUUGAUUUCAGUAGCAAAAUAAUUUGAACAGGGUGAGACAGAGAGAAAUAAAGCAUCUAUUUGAUCCCUGUACUUUCUCUUAUUCUUAUGUGUCAUUAAGGUCAAAUAUCUGAAUUUUAACCUAUCAUCAUGUAAGUUUUAUAGUGUGUUUUGGAAGCGGGAGUGUGUGAAAUGGGUUGAUGCUGCUGAUAGUGUCCAAUUUGGGUACACUUCCCAGCUAGCAGAGCAAGUAACAGAGAGCUUUUUCCUACUCAAAUUUAAUGAUUCAAGCUGCUUAAGACUUGCAUAACUUUUACAAGUUGUAGUCGAUGUGCCUGAGUUCUUGAGUCUUCACUAAUGAAUGUAACCAUUAAGACUUGGAAUCUCUUUGGGGGGGUAGGAAAUAAUGUUAAUGGUUUGUUGAUGCUUAGGAGACUCUGUGGGGCUGCUUAAAUUUAAUAUAUUCAGUUGCAUAGAGUCGACAUGACAUGCAUAGCGAUGGUCAGAUUGCCACCGUUAGUUGGUGGUAUUAUCAUUACAACACAUUCAAAUUUAGGAUUUAGAAAAUUUAAUAAUAAAACUGAAAUAUAUGUUCCAUGCUUUUUGUUUUCAUUUUGGGUUAAAAGGUUGGAGCUUUGGAUUUGGAUUUACCAUUAUUAACAUAUAAUUUUGUGCUCCGGACACCAUCUUGGGGGUCUUAACAUGAUUGUUCUUUUAUUUCAUAGAUUCAAAAUGUGUUUAGUAUCUCAUUUAAUUGGUGUACCUUCGCUCAUUUAACUCAAAUUUAAUACGAUUUGGUCCUCCAAUUUCUCUAAAUUGCUAACGGAUUUACUUUCUUUGGAAAUUUUUGGAACUCUGGUUGUGGAAGGAAGAAGCCGUUUCCUUGCUAUUUUUAGGUAUUCGAUUAUGCUCCCUGAUUGGUGUUCAAAAUCUAAUUAGUUAUAUUAAUUUUUUAUUUAUCUUUGCAAAUCAAACACACGUUGAAAUUCAAAAUACAAAUAAUAAAUAAUAAAUUUUGAAAUGGAAUAUCACAAAUAUAGACGAACAAUGACACACCCCGAUCCUAGAAUCAAGGCGUGCUGGCCGUCACGUGAGCGUGGCGUAACCAAAAGUGCGAUGCGGAAGCAAAAGAUAUGGGAAAUACGAAGGAAUAAAAACCAACUACUAGCAAUAAUAUCCAACUAACAUGCUAGAGUGAGUUUAAGUGUGCAGUACACAAUUUCAGAGCAUAAUUACUAGGUGCAGUCAAGUAGGACUAUAAUUAAAUUACAACACCCGCAUGUGAGUCAUACAUGCAGGAAGUCUGUCAGAAUGCCGAAGAAAAACCUCGUGAGCCACCAACCGCUAACUAGAACCUGGAGGGGCACAAAACAAAAUUGAGCGGGUCAGUAAAACCAAAGCUUUUUUAAAACAUUUCAUUUAAAACAAUUUUAACCCCUCACUGUAAAACCUGUAUACUUUCCCAGAAAAUAACAUAAUAGCAUAAUAUUGGUUCAUAUCUCUCAAAACAUCAAUCUUAUCAAAAUCCAACAAGUAUGCCACGCUAUAAAUGACAAUGACAGAAUAUGGAUGCAUCAAUAUAACAGGUGACAUAAUGAAUCAACCAGAGACCCUGCAGUUGGUCCUGUACGGUUAAUUCUAGCUUAAUAUCCAACCAACCGGAGUCACCACGGUGACCUGUACGGCACUACUCUGCACAUAAGUCGGAACUACCUGAAGUAGUUUGUACAACAAGAAUGGUGUAAGAAUACGCUCUAGUGCUUCUCUCAUCCAUCAUCUGCGCGCAUAAUCUAAGGUCACCUACUAGUCGGAACCACCUCUAGUGAUCUAUACGACUAGUAUGUCGGAACCCUCUCAUGGUCUGUACGACAUGCACCUACUUGGAUCCAAGGUGUGCGUGCGGUGCAGUGAAUAAUAUAAGCACUAACACCAGGAAGUGCAGGUUAUGAGCUCUCAACACAAAUCACAUCAUCAUUAAUUCAUAUAAACCAUAUAAACUCACUUGAUACUCACCUGUGCGUCCACAGCACCAAUUCACAUAUAUAUAUGCAUCAAUUAUCAAUUCAUAUAUCUCAUAAUAUGCAUGCAUGGGAUUUUAAAACAUACUUUCAUUUAAACUCAAUUUCUGGAAAAAAUAUCAAUAGUAUAUAAGUAUAAACAGAAAUACUGCCCACUCACUCAUAAGUCGAAGGGUCGUAGCCCCCGUAACGUCCCUGGAUGCGCUUGUCCUCGGGAUAGGUAUCACCUAUAUGCGAAACAACUAAAACAACGUUAUUUAAAGCACAUAACCGACAAUUCGUAAUAACUUCUCAUACGAUGUUCAAUUUGGGUAUAUGAAUAUACCACAGUGACCUAUUCGACGUCACGAACGUCAGCAUAUUUGUAGAAAAAAAUUUGGGCUUGUCACGCGGCCCCCCCCCCCACGCGCGUCUCCUACCUUGGGCUCGUCGGACUGGUUUUUCCGGUGGCCGGAAAACUAGAGAUUUUUCAAUCUCCUUGUUCUCCGUCAUUUCUCAACCAUUUUUCACGUAUUUUAUAUCAAAAUGAAGCCCUAAGCAUGUAGAAUCCCGUUACACUACUUUAAGGCUCUAAAAAUAACGAAAUCUCAUUGGAAAAAUUCCAAGAAAACCGACCAACUUUGAACUCAAUGAUCUCGAUGUCCAAAACCUUCAAACUAAGCACUUCGAGCUUCCUUAGGACCUCACUAAGCUCACUAUAAGCUUAGAAUUCCCUGAAAUCCAACAACUCACGUGUGCAUGAAUAGUGAUCUCAAAAUGGGCUUCGGAUUUCACGUGAUAUCGAGGGUUCCAAGUUCUAAAAAUUGCACCAAUGAACUCACAAGCUUGCAAGGAUUCACAAACUUACCUUUUUGACGUCAAUCCAUGAAGGUUGGAAGGUUUUGGUGCCUCGUCCGUACGAGUCGAGAGGGAGAGAGGAAGAACUGAGAAGGGGAGAGAGAUAGAGGGCACGGGGAAAGGGACAGGGUGUCCCCCGUGUGUGUGUGGUCCCUCAAAACAAUUCCACUCUUUAAUUCCCUAACCACACAAAUAUACACAUAUCCUUUAAGCAAAUUCCAAUUUUUCCAAAACUUAGGGAAUAAUAUAUAUAUUAUUCAUAAUAUGUCACACCCAUACCUUAGUAACCGCCAGGGCAGUUUCGUCGUUUCACAACCUCGAGAAUAAAAUCUCGGGACGGACUGUGACAAACAACUUUUAAAUCAGAUCAAUCUUUUUAGGGAAGACUUGAUUAAAUUUUUUUUAUUUAAACCCAAUAAUUUUAUCUCUUCACUCAUUAGUUUUUGUAUAAACUUUAUAUUCCAGUUAUACCUUAAAACAAAUGUGGUCCACAUUAUGUGGGUGUGGAGAUAAAUUAUUCAAUUAUAUAAACUAGUAAAUGAGUUGGUGUAGCGUCAUCGGAGCCACCGUUGGUGACUUGGUCACAGGUUUGAUACCUCCCUUUUUUGUCUCUAUUUGUCUUUUAGCUAAUACUAGCAAUAGUGUCCGCGCGUUGCUGCAGGUCUUAAAACUACUUGACGUAAAAGAAGAAAAAAGGCAGUACAAACUUGUAAUGGAUAGUUUGUAAUUAACAGGUUUUUAGUAUGUUCAUGCUAUUUAAACACAAAACAUAGUAAGAAAAAGAAGCAGAGUGUUGACAGAAAGUGAUACACUAAAAUUUCAACAGAGUAACUAUUACAAAUAUAUAAAUUAACAAAAUGCAAAUCAAAACUAACCAAUUCAAUUAGAUAAUACUGCAGAUUUCAUAGGUAUUUGUUAAGGUGUAAGCUUAAAGCAUUAAAUUUAUGCAAACACGUUAAGUAUGUGCGUAAUCUAUCAUAAAUCAAAUGUAAACAAAAUAUGGAAAAAUAAAUAGGUAAAUAUGCUUUAAAAUUAGUUCACAAAAAAGGAAAUUAACAUGCCAUCACAACUUUUCAAACCACUAUUUUAUUUCUUAGGUCUCACCUUCAAGUGUUCUAAAAUCGUGGAAGGUGUUGCAUAUGUCCUUUACUGUGCAAAAAUGAAACCUGCAAAACAAACAGCCAAAUGAAACUUAUAUUCAUAAAUUUUAGAAGCAUCAGAACCAUAAUAACCUGCUGUUUCAUACACCUUUAAGGAAAUAAACUUUGAAAGAAAUGGAGCAACUCGAAAAUAGCAACUAAUAUUUCUAACGAAAAACCUCUUUGUUUACCAGCAUAGAAUAUAUAUUAAGGUAUACAUUAUAACAUUUGGUUAUCGGCAGUAGAAACACAAAACACUCUUCAGCAAAAGCAUUUAAGCAUCUAGAAAAGCCAUUCUAAUCGAUGUAAUGUGAGACUUAAACUUUUUAAUACCUAUUUCCAAUAUGUAUUAAUUGUUUUAUUUUAUCAAAAAAUUCUAAUCUAAUUUGAUAUAAUAUAUAUGUCCCCAAGGAUUGAUCAUAUUACCAAUUAUCAAAUCACAUUCUCUGUUUCUCUCUCUAACAUUUUUCUACUUAGUUUCCAACUCAUUUCAAACAUAUUCAAAAGGCGAAUUCAGUCAACUUAUCCACUCACUUUCCAACUCAUUCAAAUGCAAAGGAAAGCUGAAUCUGCAUGCAGUAGCUAAAGCUCAAAUCUUUACCAAGUAAUUUUCUCAUUCUUCAACUAAUUAUAUACAAAAAUAUGAAGCUUUACCCUUUCAAUUUCUUCUUCUUCUUCUCAUUUCUUCCCAAUAAAUACAAAUCCAUUCUAAUCCAACAAUUAUCAAUGCAUCUGCAAACUGGAAAAAGCAGGAGGACAGAAAACGUACCCAAAAUAUAACAGCAGCAUCACAGGUGCUAGCAAAUCUCAGAUUUAUUAAUUGAGCAACCAAAACGCAAAGUAUUCUUUUAGCCGGGAAAGCCCCAACAAAGCACCACAACUGACAGCAAAACGAAAUCUACAAAACUGUAAACCUGGAAAUUCACAAAUGUCCAUGCUUAAACAUAAAGUUAAUAAUUAACAUUCUACUAACAUUGAUUAAUUAUCAUUCAAGAACUCCUCCCAGAUGAAAAUACAAACGAAAAUUGGAGAUUAAGUUAUUAAAGAAUAGUAACCAUGAAAUUAAAAUAGGAAAAAGCUGAAAACUUUGUAAGAUUUGAUUGAGACAGAGUGAUCAGAGUUCAUACCAUUUUCAAGAGAGAAAAAAAAUAGAAGUCACGGCUGCUGCAACUGCUUUCUCUGAGUUCAUCAAGUUUCUGGGAAAUUUAUACUCUUUUAGCUGGGAAAGCCCUAACAAAGCACCACAACUCACAACAAAACGAAUCGUUAGGGUUUCAUCCAAAUUAGCAAAAAUUCAAAAUAAAACUGAAAUACAAUCAUUAUAAAACACACCUUAGCUAAAAAAGAUCGAUUCCGCAGUGAUCUGAAGACAGGAUGCACCCAAAAGGGUGGAAAUCGGCCAAAAUUCCGCCCACAACCAGGAAAUCGCAGAUGAAAAAAAAGACAAACAUGCGAAUAGAUUCACAGGAUUGAGAAAAUUUAGCAAACGGACGUUGAUAACGGAGACCGGAAAUAUGCAAAAGCUGGAGAAGGAAAAAAGGGAGUGCGAGAGAGAGAAGAGAGAUGGAAAUCAGAAAAACACGUAUGAUGAAGGGCAAAGUCUCGCGGUAGAAAUCAUAUUCAAGAUCCGAUUGACCUCCAUCAUUCAUCUCCUCGAUGACGAAAUCUUAGCCGCCAUCGGAAGAAGCCAAAGAAACCAGAUUGAUCAGCGGUUCUUGGGCGGAGGAGGAGGCGGAGAGAAGCAGGGAAACACGAAAGAUUGACGCAGGGAGAAAAACACAGAAACAGAGAGGAAGAGAAAGGGAAAAGCGACGGAAGAAAAUGGAAGAGCCCUCGAGCACCUUCUCACAAAACUGCUAUUCAUUUGACAGCAAAGCAAUAGGGCAAAGUUGAAUAACAAAAAAAAAGCAGGGGUCAAAAUGGAAGAACACUGUUACUUUCACUGUUCAUGAACAGUACCACCUGAGUUUGGGUUUUAGUAUAUAUAGAAUUUUGUCACCUGUGGGCUGGUUUGGUAUUGCUGUGCUUUGAAAAAAAGCUGCUGUGAGAAUAAGCGGCUGUGCUGUGAGAAUAAGCGGCUGUGAAAUAAAUCAGCAGAGUGUUUGGUAAACUUUUUUGUAAAAGUGCUUUUGGAAAAAAAAGCAGUCUGAUAAUGGGUCUUUUCAUUAAAGGAGCACUGUAGUUCUGUGUGCUUUGAAAAAAAGCUAGUUUUCCAAAGCUACAAAUUGCAGCUUCAGCUUUUUCUUUUGAUUUCAGCUUAUUCUCACAGCAGCUUCCAAAAUAAGCCUUUUUUUUUAAGUUUACCAAACACCAAAAACACUUCCAGCUUUUUUUCAUAGGAGCUUUUUUUAAAAUCACCUCAACCCCAAACCGGGGCUUAGACUCCUAUAAUUUAGGUGAAAAAUAACUUCUUUUUUUUUAACCGAAAGUGUGUCUUUUAAUGUGAAUAAAUUCUGUUAACGAGGAUUUUGGUCUUUGAAUUUUUUAACCGAAACUGAUGCUACACUGAAAUGUGAUAAAACUUCAGUCAUGCAUCACUAAGAAUCCCAUUUUUCAUCGGAAACCCAAGCAUAUAAAUGGAAGGUAUCAUUUCAUUAAGAAAGCACUGCAACAACGAGUGAUUGAUUUAGUUCAUUGUCCCACAAAUGAGAAGUUGCUGAUAUCCUUACAAAGACUCGGGCAAAAGAUCAGUUUAAUCAUCUGAGAGAUAUCCUUGGUGUGAAAUCAGUUCACAAUUUAAGAGUUGUUGAAGCAUAAAUUGUAAACUGAUUUGUUGAAGACUCAGUAUUAAUCUUAGCUUACACAAAAUCACUGAUUCAAAUUCCAAAUUCUAACAAUAACAUGCUUAGUUUUCCUGUCAAUUUGUUGAAUAAGUUUGCGUAUUUGUUGAACAAGUUUGCAUCAAAUCUUUGUUUAAUACAAGGUGCAUAAUUAGGUUAUCUUAUACAAGUUUAAGUUGUUGACCCACAAAACUAUCAAUCGCUAAUUAACGUAGGGACGUGAGCAAGAGUCUUUAAACUACACCUCUUUCUUUUUACUGAACUGGUCAAAUAUUUAAAUUUUUUGUUUAAUACAAGGUGCAUUGGAAUUUUCUUCACGAGGAUUUAAAAUUAUUCACGCACAGACGUACAUAAAUAACAAAAAUUAUUAUAAUUUAGAAGAGCCUCUUUCUUUUCAAUAAACUACUUGACAAAACGUAAACAUCAUAAUGUCCAGUUCAAUGAGCUAGAGUUCAAUGGAAAUCAAAACUCCGUCGGUGGAAAUGACAGUUGCAGAAACCCCGUUGGUUGUGCGUUUGGUACGUGGGACGGGACGGGACGGGACGGGACGGAACGGGACGAGGCGUUCCGUCCCGCGUUUGGUGCGCCAAAAAUGGGUGGAACGGGUUGUUCCACGGGACAGAUUUUGGGUGUUUUUGCGUCCCACCUCCACCCCCUGGAACGGGUUUGUUCCACGUCUGUGGAACACAAUGUUUUACCAUUUUAAGACAAAUAUACCCCAUGUCUUUUUCAAAAAUUACACCUUCGUUCCCGUCCCGUCCCGUCCCGCCCCGUCCCGUUCCGUCCCGUCUGCGUACCAAACGCACCCAAAGGGUUGAUAGAAACCAUUGUCAAAUGAUAACUUUUAUUAAAUUAUUUGCAUAUGUAAUGUAUAUUAUGCUUUAGAAUAUUUCAAAGUCAAUGAUAGCAAAUAACAAGACAUCUAUAAGAUCCAUCCGUAUCUUACACAUGAUAGCAAUUGACCUAGUCUUUCUUUCUAUUGAUUAUUACUUUGAUGGAGAGAGGCAUCUGUCUACCCAAUUGCCUAAUUGUUGGAUCAAAUUCUUUGUUCACAAAGCCAAUCAAAAUGAGUUUACCUACUAGUACAGACUGGAGCAAAACCUCAUGGAAAGUUAGAGAGAACCACAAUCUAGACUUUGAAGAAAAUUCAAUGGUUCCCUUCUUUUCUUCUUUCUUUUAAUUAUAAGUAAUAUUCUAUACUAAUUUACGUUAAGGGAGGAAAUUUUAGACUCGAGAUGCAGCGGAUUGAAGAAGAAAACUUUAACUAUCAAAACAAUUCAACACUUGCCAAUAGUUUCCUUUAUAGUAGUUUGUUUAUUUUCUCAUAUAAAUCAAUAUGUAAUCACCAUUAUCUUGUUUGAUUUUGGUGCGGAAUGCAUUAAGCUUUGAGGAGUAUUUCAACAUUCUGGAAGAGAUGUGACUAGACCGAUCGCUCUAGUUGGUAAGUAACUCAACCUAAAGUGAUUAUUGUUCAAGAAAUUCUCACUAAUAAUUCAUUAUUUCAAUCUCACCAUGUCGCGCAAUUAUCGCCCUCGAUAUGCAAAAGUAUUGGAUAAUAAAGAAGAAGAAUGUUAUAAAACAUCGAUUUGAAUGGGAAACUGUGAACUCAGAAACUUUGAAGAUCAUAACUAAGCAAGCAUGGCAACAAUAUAAAUUGAAAAACAUCAGAAUUUAUAAAUUGUUACGUAACAAUUUGAGACCUCCAAUCACCAAGUUUAAAUUUCAUGUAAAUAUGUGUCAUUUCUAAAUUUCUAUGAGUGAGAGUUUAAAAAAAAAAUCUUAUUUAAAUUCCCUUAUUUUUUUAAAUUAACCAAAUAAGAAAAUUUACAAAUUCUAAAAAAUUAAAAUUUCAUUUAAAAUUCCUUAGUAAUAUGAAAUUUCCUCAUCCAAACAAAAUGUAAUAUUACCUUUUCCUCUAAAUCCGUUUUUCAUAUUACCCCUAAAACAAUUUUUUCAUAUUUCAAUUUUACCCUAAAAUUUUAAUUUAAUUUCACAAUUACAACUGGCGUGUUUUUCUGACAAUGUCCUACGUGUGUUCGUAAAGUGGCUGUAAGUCAAAGUCAACAGCACGCCAUGUGGAGCGUUGCACAAGUGUCCAAGAGUGGCUUAAAAGUGUUGUAUUUAUUUUUCUGCUAGCGUGUUGAAGUGUCUCAAAGUUUUAUUGAGAAGUCAAAUCUCACACAAACAUAUAAAAUCACUAUAUAAAUAGGAAAUUGUUAUUAGUAUUUUAAAAUUUUUAUUUUAUAUUCUUUAUAAAUGUAUUUUUUUUUUUAUAAUUAUAGGAAAUUUGAAGUGCCAAAUAAUAUUUUUGGAAUGUUAAUAAUAAUACCCGAUAAAUAUUGUCUGUUAACAAUCUCUAAUAAUGACACGCGUGUAAUCAUCAUUUCUCUUGGCAUUUGAGAACGAAACAUUCGAGAGGGAAUCAUAUGAUGAUAUAGUUGAACUACAUCUUAUUUUAGCAUCAAUAAUCUGAAUGAUAUUUUUUUUGUUUCUACAUCACCUAUUUACGUGACUAACGUUGUAACACUCUUUUAAAUGACUAAUGUGUAAAUAUAUAUAACUAGACGAAACAAUAAAUUUGCUUAUAGAGUUCAAUAUUGUUGUAGACAAAACAAGAUAACUUUAGAUGAAACGACAAAUUUGCUCAUGGGUCAAAUGUAGAACUCAUAUAAGUGUAAGGCUGAUUGUGCCACAUGCGCUUUAGGCAAGCGGCGGAAUUAUUUGCCUUGUACUAGUCAACAAACUCGAGUCUAUUAGAAAUUAAGUUAUUUAAUUGAAAAAGAAAGGAAUUGACUGAUUUAUUUUUUUAUAUAUUGACAUGCAUACUUUAUGGGGUCAACAAUGAUGGCCGUGCGCCUUGCAGGUCAAUGGUUGGACUUUGGAGCUAAACCUCAUGGAAAGCUAUAGAAGAACUAAGAUCUAGACUUUGAACAAAAUUCAAUGGUUUCCAUUUUUUUUGUUUUUUUUUAUUCUUCUUUUAAUUAUAAGCGAUAUUCUAGGGUAAUCUAUAAUAAAAAAGGAGAAAAGUUUAUACUCAAGGUUCAAUGAGUUAAAAAAAAAAAUCUUAAUAAUCAGAAUAAGCCAAUACUUUCAUUUCUAGUAGUUUAUUUAUUUCCUCAUAUAUAUAUAUCAAUGUGUAAUCAACAAUAUCUUAUUGAUUUUGGUUGAGAUACGGAUUAAACUUGAAACCUAUUUCAACAUUUUGGAAGAGAUGGUGACUUGAUCAAUCUCUCUAGUUGGUAAUGUACCUCAUCCUAAAGUGAUUAUUGUUCAAGAAAAAGUGAAUUCUCACUAAUAAUUCAUCAUUCCACUCUCACCAAGUCGCAUAAUUAUCGCUCUCAGUAUGUAAAAGUACUGAUAAAAAAUUAAAAAGUUACAAAACAUAUCGAUUUGAAUGGGAAACUGAGAACCUAGAAACUUUGAAGGAUCAUAACUAAGCAGGCAUGACAAUAAUAUGUCUAUCGAAGCUAGUUAAGAACUGUGGUGUAAAAACUUGAGGAAAGAGUUUUGCAUAGAAGUUCUGUGGAAAAGUGAUACAAAUUGGCCAGCCAUUGGUUUCAGUUUCAAGUGAAAAACCAAGCAAUCCAACAAACCUCGAAUGUACUUACGUAGUCAGACAAAGACCUCAAGCUAUCGAGCACAUAUGGUACUUAGGUACAAUGGUUACACUUCUCAGGAGUCCUUAGUAACAUAGUAACAUAAAUAAGUGUGUGCACACAUAUCUAUCUAUAUAUCUAAGUAGAUAUGUUACUCUAAUUCAGCAAUAGCUUCUAACUGACUGUUUAGAUUUCUUGCAGGUGUAGCUGCAUUUGUUCGUGCAGGACUUGUAGAUGCAAAAGGAUUGGGAGGCAUGGUUAAGAUUUCUCCUCCUUCCAGCAUUUGAACAACUUCUUUCAUGGAAGGACGACCUGCUGGGUGCCACUGGAUGCACCAGAGCCCUACAAUUGCGAGUUUCUUUGGAGUUCUACCAUCUCCUUCCUCCCCAAGAUGGAUCCGUAGGUCGUCUCCUUCUUCUAGAAGAUUAUAGAUCCAUUCUGGAUAGUAAAUUUCAGUUGGGAUUGCUGAGGUUGAAUCAAUAUUCUUCUUUCCCCCUACCAUCUCAAGCAGCAGCAUUCCAAAACUAUAGACGUCCGACUUAUAGGACACAUUUCCAAAGUUCCUGGAGAACACUUCAGGUGCAAUGUAGCCCAUAGUCCCUCUAGCUGUAGUCAUGGACACUAUGCUUUGAUCCUUAGAACACAACUUGGCCAAACCAAAAUCAGAAAUUUUUGGAGUGAAAUUGUUGUCUAAUAAAACAUUAUGAGGCUUGAUGUCGAAAUGAAGGAUUCGUUGCUCACAUUCCUGAUGAAGAUAAUAAAUUCCCUUGGCUACAGCAAGAGCAAUAUCUUGCAACUUGUCCCAACCAAGGAAACGAUUGUUAUUGUCUGCCGAUGAAAUGAAAUCGUGCAGUGAACCAUUGGCGAAGAACUCAUAAACGAGAGCUCUGUUAAACCCAUCAGCACAGAAACCAACCAAACGAACCACGUUGACAUGGGGAUACUUCCCAUCAUUCCAACUUCCUUUAUGAAAUCUUCCCCAUUUCCGUUGGAACUAUUGAGAACUUUAACAGCAACGAAGCAUUCAGAAGAAAGUUUUCCUUUGAAAACCGUUCCAUAGGCUCCUUGGCCUAACUUGUCCUGGAAUUGGUUUGUGAUCCUCUUAAUAUCUGCAUAGGAAUACCUGCUUGGUUUGUGAGCUUUGUAAUCUUCUAAAAACGUUUCAAUCUUCAAUUGACUCUCCUUUUCUUUUCGAUUAGACCUAUAGACACGAUAGGCUGCAACGACCAGUAGUAACACAACAAAUGAUCCCAGGGUUGUACCUGCAAAUCAAACAAAUCCUUGAGUAAAUAAUAGUAUUCCCGACGGUCCAGCUAGACAUGAAAUAAAAUAAAAAACAGUCAGACUACUCACCUACGGCUGCAAAUUUCCUUGUUACACCUGAAAAAAGCAUUGACAAAUUUAGUAAUAGUGAUGAUCUACUGCUCGGACAAAUUUAGUAAUAGAAGAAAACAAAUUACUCUUUGCCUAGCCAUUUGAAAUUCAUAUCAAAUGCGUUGCAUCUAGUUAUUUGAAAUAUGUUCAGUGGGAUGCUUACUAGAUAAGUAAGCAGCAAGUGCAAUAAUAUAGCAGAAUAUAUGUAAAAUAAGACCAAGAUUGAAAAUAUAGGCAGACUUACUAGCUUUGCUCAAGCGAACACAUUGAAUUUCAGUGUUGGUGUGAUUGUACUUGAUUCUACACUUUUUGCCCUCUGCCUCACACUCUGUACAAUUUGGUUUCUUCCAUUUCAAAUUAGUAUCCUCAAGACCAUAAUAGUACAUCUGUGGAAUCGCCAAAACAUCGUACAUCUUUGUACACGACUCUAGGAGCGGAUAGUCCAUAGUUUCGUAGGAAGAUUCAAUGGCAUAAACUCUGUAGCCAGGGCCACUAAUGCAGGGGACUUUAGCACCGUUUAACUCUCUUUCAGCAGGGCAGUGGAAUAAGGUAGCGUUGGAAGGCAUGGAUUCUUGGAGGUAGAAUUGAGAGGCUGGCAAUGAGAUGUUGAUGUUAUCAACUUCUGAAGGCUUUAACAGCAGGCAAUUACGCGGUUGAUAGACUUGGACUUCCUGAUGCUUGUAAUCUAUGCGUUUCACCAAGAAUUUCACCACUACCACUCGGUGCUCCUGUCCGUAGUCAUCCUCAUUUGCAUGGCAAUCAGAUGUCGGACUACAGGGAUGUCCACGGCGAAACAGAAUAUGGAUGGCCUCGCCAUGAUCCCCGCAUUUGGAUUUUUCACAAGCAGAGGCAUUCUGGGUUGUUCCGAGCAAUGUUAACAAAGUAAUUGAGAAUAUGCGAACCCAAGAGAUAUUGAGCUGUUGCUGCUGCAUUUCUGAGGUAUUUUUUUUUCCAAGGAGAAGAACAAAUAUAUGUUAAUAGUUUAACACAAAGACUUUGUAGAGUUCCUGACCAUAAAAAUGCAAUUGAUCUACGGGUUAACCCCAAAGACCACGUCACGGAAGCCUAGAAAGUAUUUACUGUUUUGGUCAAUACUUUUAAUUUCACAGCGGAAACUCUUUCCGUUGUAGAGUCAUUCCUGUUUACCUGCCACUUUCAAUCUCAUACAUGUGUUAAAUCUUUUCUUGUGCUUAUAUAUAAAUUCUUUGUAUUGUUACGCACUUUCUGUGUCAAACCUCGCUGAUAUUUUUCUCCAUGGGAAUAAGUGGAAGGUCCUCCUCCUCCUCCUCCUCCUCCUCCUUGUCUAUGCGGUUUUUAAUUGCAGCUUUUAUUGUUUUUAGCUUAUCCCCUCAAACCAUUUGUAACGCCACCCGGCAAAAGUGUACCCCUUCUUCCUGCGGUCAUAUCCGCAAUAUAAGCUACCCUUUUCGACUAAAGGGUGAUCCGCGCCACUGCGGCGACUCAGGAUACACUCUGUCUUGUGAGAACAACAAAACCAUACUAAACAUACGUUUAUCUGGCGAUUACUACGUACAGGCAAUCAACUACCAUAACCAAACAAUCCGAGUUGUUGAUCCGGGCCUUGACAAGAGCAAUUGCUCCUCCCUUCCUCUUCAUUCUUUGGCUCUUUCUUCUGGGUACAACUAUCCAGAUGAUGUUUAUUACCGAAUUCCGGAUCCGAUGCUUACAAAUUGUGCACCAUCAUCAACAUAUUCAUCAGCGAUAUGUACGGAAAUUGGAACAACAAAUUUAACAUUUUUAAAGUGCCCGAGUCCAAUGAAUUCAUCUCUUUACGUGGACGCUGCUCCAUGUUUUCCUGUUGAAUCUACUUCUAAUUCAUCUUCGUCGAUGUCGUCAUCCCAACCAAAAUCGUAUGGCUAUGUCAAGAUUGGAUAUUUAGAAGUAGGGCAGAUGAAGGACGGUUGCAGCAUAGAGCGAAGGACUUAUGCCUACUUGUUCGACGGCUACAACGCUUCUUAUAAAUCCAUACACAAUUCUCUGGUAUAUGGAUUUGAGCUUGAAUAUACCCUUUCGAAUUACUUUAUCUGCGGAGGCCAAUGGAGCUACAAUCACAAGUGUUAUCCGCACAGCGUUCCAGGUGAGUAGUGAAUAAAGCUCAAUUUUUCCUUCUACUUCAUUAUCAUCUCUUGUAGGAAAUUUAUUUCUAUAAAAUAAAUAAAAUAAAAAAUAAAAUUGCAGGGCCAUGGUCAUCCUUUGUCUCUCUUUGGAGAAAUUUUUUCAAGUACCUGUCACAUAUGCUGACCGAAAUUCCACUAAUAAACAUUUGACAUCUGUAUAUUUUAUUCUUUUAAAUUAAAAAAAUGACAAUUAUUUUAAAAUAAACUCAAAAUGAUAUCAGAGUCUCAUGAGCAUGACGACGCCGAACCACCAGUACCCACCUCCAUCACCGGUCAGCAAUUUUUCUAGCAUCAUCAUCCCUUCUCUCUGUUCGACUUUCUCUUUCUUUCCUUCCCCUCUCUCUCUCCCACUCUUACAUCUACAUGGAACCCAGAGAUUGUCGGCGGCGACUCCAACUCAGAUCUGCUGUCGUCAAUCUCGAUCUAUCAGCCGAAGUUCACCGACAUCCUCUUUGUUCUUACCUUGGAGUAGGAAAUAGAAUAAAUAAAAAGGGGAAGAAAGAGAGAGAGAGAGAGAAAGCGAUAGGGAGAGAGGUGAUGCGGAAAGGCGGGAUGGGUUGAGCCGUGGAGGGAUGGGGGAUGGGGGAUGGGCGAUGGGCGAUGGAGAUUAGGGAUUGGAGAUUGUGGGGUCGACGGCAGAUGAAAUUUGGCCUUCAAAUUUUUUUUAAUUAUUUAAUUAUUUAGUGAAAUGAAUAUCAGGGUAAAAUGGGUAUUUUAAUGUCAGUUAAGAAGUAGGAAGAUAGGUGUUAGAUGCUUAUUAGUGGGGAACUCCAAGUCAGCAUAUGUGACGGGUACAUGGAAAAAUUUCUCCCCUCUUUGGCCAUCUCCAAGAACUAAAUAUAUUCUUGUUUAAAAUAGCUCUGCAAGAAAUUAUUUUUAAAUACAUAAUGUCAGGUUAUAGUAAUAUAUCAUCUCCAACAUAAUUGACUAAACAUAGCCCCUCAAUAAUUUAUUAGUUUUAAGCUUACACUUUAAAUUCAAUUAUUGCAAUUAAGGAGCUGGGCACAAAAAAAAAGGCUACGGAGGGAGCUACAUUUGGCCAACAUGUCAUUUUUUAGUUUUUGAACCUUUAGGCGCAUUUUGGUUGCCUUUUUCACAAAAGAAAACAGCUUUUAAAAGCAGCAUGUACAUUGACUUUCAAAAUUGCUUUAAUAAAAAACAAAGUUGAGCCUUUAGAAUAUUUUUAAUUCCUAUAAUAAGCUCAUUAAUUUUAGGAUGAACUGUCAAUUUGGUCCCUGAAUUAUCAUCUGUAUGGAGUUAAUGUUGAAGGGUAGAUUGGUAAUUUUACAUUAUUUAUCCUUCUCUGCAUUGCCUUUACACUACUUUUCAGACUUAUAACACUUUUAAAAAUGCAGUAUAUCAAAUCAUCAACUAUUUUAUUUUGACAACUGAUUAUUUUCAAAGUAUAGUAUAAACAAUUUAUUAAAAAAACACAGAGAUUCAAAACUGGCACAACCCUCUCCGUUGGAGAUGGCAAAAUAUGUUAGACAAGGAAACAACAAGUGUGAAAUUCUAAUUUAAAAUCAACAGGUGUGGGCCCUAAUGUUGUAUUUUUCUUCUUUUUACUCUGUCACUGUAGGUUUGUUUCGAUUUGUAUGGCCGCCGAUUCAAGGUAAGAGAUCUAUGUAUGGGAGCUUAUAUAACAUUUAAUUUGUCCUCUAUUGCGAGAGUUCUUAUAUUCCUUUUGAAUUGGUUUGACCCUUGGCUUACACCCCCUUCAUAACGAGUGCUACUUCCUAAAGAACAUGUCUGUUCAAUUUGAAUUGAUAUUCAAAUAUUCAAACAUGUUGUGAAGUGAAUAGGUACAUCUCUACCUCUGAACAUGUAUGAAGAAUUUAAAUUUUGAAGCAGUUUUGACUAAAUAUCAAGAUUUCUUUGAAUAGUCCAUUUAGUCUGGAAGCAUUGCCUCGUGACUUUUUCUCCAUCUGAUCGGUCGUUUACUUCAGUCUUAUUGGUCACCCUGCUUCUACUUUUAAGUUUUAGACUCCCACAUCAGAUUGUUCUUUACCGAUUGUACUGUGCAUGCAAGGUUUAUACUGUGCAUUGUGGUGGAGUGAGUCGAGUACCUCUUAAAAAGAUCACAUUUCAAUGCAUUGUUGUUUUUGACCUAUUAAAGUUAUCAUGAACACCUAGUUGCUUUAGACCUAUGAAAAUAACAUAUAGUUGUUUUGAACUUAAAAAUGGGCUUAGAGGCCCACAAAGGGGUGAGAAGAUAAAGAGCUUGAGCCUGCAAAUCAGCUGAAGGAAUCCACUAGACAAAGCUCUGCCACGACCACUAUCGACGACCGCUCGACACUUUGUAUUGUUUACCGACAAGAAGGAACGAGAGUAAAAUCUAAAGCACUUUCUAACCACCUAUGACAGUUGGCAGGACCCUGACCCAUAAUUCUAUACUCCAGAAAAAGCAUGCCGACCUCCUAUAGCAGGUCACCCAGACCAAAGAGAGGAUAAAAAGAAUCCCUCAAAGAAAUGAGAACCAACUUGGAGGCUACCCAUUGCAUGACCUGCAUCAUUCACCAGCCAUCCUCACAUCUAAUUGGACUUCAACAACGACGGUGGCGAGGAUGCUCCCGAGGUCAUAAGUCGGAAGUCGGCAUUGUGCUGAAGAGGACGCUCAAGAAAACGAAGUUCGGCGGUCGCGCCAAAGACUAAGGUUUCAGCCUAGCGCCCUGAUUUAAGGACCACCUUGAAAGAGAUGAUGAGCCUAAGGCAUGAAGAGCAUUCGGGAUCGAUUGAGGAUGUCGAGAAGGCUUCCCGACUGAGGAGUCUCGACCACUCAGAGGAAGAAGUCUCUCUUCUUUUCUCCACAACCUUAAUAUCCAAGCCAAUAAGUGGAAACACCAAAGCCUUGAAGGUUCAGAGCAACGAGGGACUCACAUAUCCCUAUAACCUAUGGGUGGGUUCAAAAAACUGAAAAUCGAAAAAAAAAAGGGACUGAACACCUAACCAAAACGGAAAAACCAAAAUCUAAAAAAAGACCAAAUUAAAAAAGAAAAAACCAAACCAAACCAAACUUUAUUGGUUCGGUUUUGGUUUUGGAGGUUUGGAAACCGAAACGAACCAAAUCCCUUUACACUUUAUGAAUGUAUGCCUAUGAUGUUUCUUUUGUGAAACUUUGUUGCCAAGUUUGAAACUAAUCUAGGACUUUUUCAAGGAGCAUACUUGGUUCAAUUAGGGAGGUUAUGCCAUUGGUUAUAGAGGAUUUUGGAAGGCGGCUUCUGAGAAGACCAUUUAUAUUGAGUAUACAAAUGAUGGGCUUGCUUUUGCUUUGGAACUUGGAAGAGUUCCUUUACCAACGCAACCCUCUUUUCUAAAUUUCAUAUUAAAAAUAAUAUAAGGUUUUAUAAAAUAAAGAAAAACUAAAACCAAUCCAAAACCAAACGAAAAAAAAUCAAACCGAAAAAAAAAACUAAAAGAAAAUCGAACCGAACCUAAAUUUUCGUUCGGUUUCGAUUUUGGCAAAAAAUUGAACCGAAUGAAACCAAACCUUCCCUAUAACCACCUUGACGGUUUUAUCUGUGUGAUCAAAAGAAAGGGAAAUAAGGAGGAAACUUAGUGUCGCCUAUUCCCGACCAACUUGAGAGAGAAAGCAAGGGAUUGGUACAAGCUGCUUACCCCAUGGACAAUCACUUCAUUCUUUGAGCUCAAACAACCCUUUCUAUACCACUACAUGGUCAUAACCAAAAGGUAGUACACCCCGACCAGUUUGGCUUCAGUAAAACAGGGUUCGAGUGAAUCCCUAAGGGACUACAUAUCUCAUUUCAACGAGUAUGACCGGUGUAAGAGGUGCGACGAGGCCACAACCCACAAUGGGAUGGCUUAGAGACAUUGAAGAACUGACUGUGAGAGGUGGUCAGCUCUUCCAAGCAGUUGAAUAAGGCAAGAACAUAAACCACUCUUCAAAUAAAAAAAGCUAGGAACACGAGCACUCUGGUGAAAUAGGGGACGAAAGUCGUGGUCAACCAUGAGUGGGCGAGGUGAAUAACGCAUUGAGCGCGAAGCUGGGUGAGUCACAAGUCUCUAGCUCUUCUAGAUUUAGGCUUGGCAGGAGCCAAGUAUGAUGAGGCAGGCUCGGGUCUGCUAUACCGUGGAGGAUGUGAGAGAAAGAGGCACGAGGCACCAUUUUUCUUUCUUGUGACUUGGGCCGCGGGCUAGGCUUCCAAGGCCAUGAAUUGAGUGGCUAGGGCCAUGGCUUGGGCGCAAGGUGCUGUGCUUGGCAGGCUGAGCACAGACCCAUGUCGCUAAGGAGAGAGAGAUGUGGGCAGAGGCCUAUGUGGGUCAAGCGUCAGUUGGAGAGAAAAGGGACCAUGUCAUAGGGCCUGGCAUAUGCUGCUGAAAGCUUGUCAUUGAUCUGACUUCUCCCAAGGGGAAGAAAAAAAUUGUUGGGUAUGAGCUUGUGAACCUACUACCCUAAAGGUGGCCAUAACCGUUGUUGAAAUGAUUGCCCAGCGAAAAGGUUCGGUGAUGCCCCAGUGUCUGAGUUUGUAUCGAAGCGCCCAUUUGGAGGUAAGUUUGGUUCAACUUUUGAGAAGCUCGCCUCACUAUGAAGACCCGGAAGGUGGAUUCUAUGCUAAGGUGGCAUUUAAGCAUGUUCCUCAUUCUGCUUCAACUAAUUUGUCUUCUAAGAAAGAGAAGUUUGCUCGCAUGGGCAGUUGUGAGAAAUUCACUGAGUUUGGUUCUGAGGAGUUUCCCGAGGUUUCUGCACUGCUGAAGGCUAACCUGCUUGAGGACAUCGAUGCAUGGGCCAAGUUUGUUGAUAGUGUUGGGAAGGUCAUCCACUCAAACUCUUUUGCAAAGCGUCCUGCCUUCCCAAGGAUAUCAUCCUUGCUUGCCACAAUGCAGAAGACUUUGAUCCUGGUAGAUAAGUCUAUGUACAUUGAUCAUGAUGUUGUCAACUAUGCUAAGAAGGUUGAACUAGCACUGAUGGCUCAGUUUCACUCGUCUGCUGAAAAGAUUAAGAAACUCAAAUAUGAACUUACCGUUUUGAAGAGGUCUGAUGUCUCUGCCCCCACUUCUGUGUAGCUGGAGAGUGUUCAUCAGGAGGUUGUUGAUUUGGAAGCGAAGCUUAGUGUGACUCAAGCGAUGUUGGAAGUUGCAAAGAAGGAAGUCAGUCGGGUUGUAUCAGUGGUUUAAGACCUUGGGCAUUUCAAUUCAGAGCUACCAUAUGCUUGUUUUGCCAAGGACGAGGACCUUGUUUGUGAAGUGUCUCGUCUUAAGGAUGUUGCCAGUAAGCUUGAGUCCAAGGAAGUGGAUCUGAAAGGUGCGCUGUUUACUAGCGAAAUCCUGAAGAAGAAACUGGAUAAGUUGCAUGAUGCUCACAUUGGGCUUGCUAAGGAGAAUGUGAAGCUGAAUGAGACGGUCGAUCACAAAGUUGCGCUUGCUUCUCGUUAGGCUGAUUUCUAUAAGGCCAUCUCCAACCGAAUGGUCCAGAGGGCCAGAGGGCCGAAAAUAGCCCUAAAACCGUCUUCAACCGAGGGCUAGGCCAGAGGGCUCGGGAAUCUGGGAGGGCCCCACGGAAUUUCAAAGGGCUGGCUAGCUAUUUUUUUUUUAUAGUUUUUCUAUUGCUGUCGGUUAUAACCGACAGCAUUAAAGAGAAAUUCUUUUUUUUUAUAUAGUUUUACUAUUAGUGUUGGUUAUAACCGACAUUAAUAGUAAUUUUUUUUAAUAUAACGGCUAGCUGACUCAGCUAGCCGUUAGGUUUUUUUUUUUUUAAUUUUAAACAUUUCUUUUCUUCUAUAAAUAUGGUGAAGUUCUUUCAAUUCUUCACUUCAUUUGCAAUAUUUCCUUCUUCAAUAUUUUUCAAUAUUUCAUUCUUCAAUAUUUUUCAAUAUUUCCUUCAAUAUAUUUCUCAAUAUUUCCUUCAAUAUAUUUUCCAAUAUUUCCUUCAUCUAUAAUAUUUGUUUCAAAUUUUCAAUAAUUUCCUUCAAUAUUUUUUCAAUAAUUUCCUUCAUCUAUAAUAUUUGUUUCAAUUUUUCAAUAUUUCCUUCAUCUAUAAUAUUUCUUCACUUCAUUUGCAAUAUUUCCUUCAUCUAUAAUAUUUUCAAUUUUUCAAUAAUUUCCUUCAAUAUUUUUUCAAUAAUUUCCUUCAAUAUUUCCUUCAUUUUUUUCAAAAAAAAUGGCCUCAUUUGCAAUGAAAGGUAGGGCUUGGACCCGAAAAGAAGAUGAAGCUCUUUGCAAGGCUUAUAGAUGGGUCUCAGAAGAUAGUGUGAGGGGGAUUUCUCAAACAAGUGAAGGUGUUUGGACUCGUGUGUCCAAAAAAUACUUAGAGUUCUAUGAAGGCACAAUUCCACCGAAUACCCGAAACCACAAAAGUUGUUCUUCAAAAUGGAAGAAACAUCUUCAUCCAAGUUUGAAUAAAUGGCAUCAAACACUAUUAGCAACAGCAAGUAGACAUGAAAGCGGCACCAAUUGUUUACCUCUGACUAUACUCCUACAAUGGCGGAUGAUGAAGAUGAUGUUGAUUAUGGAUAUUAAAUUUAAGUCGUUGUAAUUUUUAAAUUUAAGUUAAUGUUGUUUUUAAAUUUAAUUUGUAGUUUUUAAAUAUAAGUUGUUGUUUUUAAAUUUAAGUUGUUGUAGUUUUUAAAUUUAAAUAAUAAAUUAUGUUUGGCCCUAUAACCCUUUGGCCCUCGGUUGGAGAAGGUUUUUUGUGACAGGGUUAAAACGAGCCCUCUGGCCCUCGAUUGGAGACGGAGGCAAAUAUGGCCCUAUACUGUUCAUUAAAAUAUUAAUAUCUUGGGGAAUCUUGGAGGGCCAGAUGGCUAAAACGAGCCAUCUGGCCAGCCCUCGGUUAGAGAUAGCCUAAGCUUCUCUAUGUGGACCAUUUCCAAGAUAGGUUGUUAGAUUAUAAGUUCUCCGAGAAGGACUUCGAGACUUACUUCAUUUCUCCAAUUGAUAUGCUUAACUUCUCGUCUGAGGUUACCUUUGGUGGAGCAUCUAAGGGUCAGUCUGUCCAGGCAGGGGCAUCUGAGGAUGCGCUGAUGAAAGCUUUGGCUGCUAAGAGUGGUGUAGCUACUGAAGGCGUGGUAGUCGAGGAACUAGUGGUUGCGUAGUCUACCUAUGAGUUUUUUCUUGGACUUAGGAAUUUUCUUCCUUUUUCUUUUGUUCUGCCUUGUUAUAACUUUGUUAACCUUUGAGCUAGUUUAUCAAUUUGCUAGAAAUUUAAUACAAAUUUUCCUUGCUUUGCUUCAUCCUUGCUAUUUCACCAUGUCUUUUGCAAAACUUUACUGUAGGGCGGCUAAGUGAGCUGCUUCAACGAAGCAGUCGAUCCCACGUCGUCACUUAGGUUUUAGUUUUGGCUUCGGGACUUCGAGAGCCUUGCUUGCUCGAGGCGACUUGCAAAACUUUUGUCAUAGAACAUGCGGCUGCGUUGGCUACUUCGAUGAAGCAGUUGAUCCCACAUGGUUACUUUAGGCUUUAGUCUUGGCUUUGAUGCUUAAGAAACUUUACUUGCACGAGGUGAUAUGUGAAACUUCUAACUUAUAAAGCCAACGACCAUACAUGUGGCUUUCUUUAAAAGCUGACGAGUCUGUGUGCUGCUAUAGUCGUAAAUCUCAUCUUUGACGGCUUCACAUUUCUAACUUAUAGAGCUGGUGCUGGACGCGUGGCUUUCAUAAAAAGUAGACAAGUCUGCAUAGCUACUAUAGUUGUACAUUUCGGCUUUGGGUCUUGCAAAACUUAAAUCAUAAACUGUCGAUCGGAAGUGCUACUUUUAAAUAAGCAGAUGGUUCCAUAUAGUUAUAGUAGGUGUAAGUCUCGGCUUACAAACUGCCUAGGGCUACUAGGUCGUCGGUUGGGUGUCUUACUUACAGAAGCAGACAACUCGCGUGACCACUUUAGGUGUUAGCCCCAGCUCUCGGAGGCGUUUUAGGUUUAAGUUGUAUGCAAAAUCGUGACUCAGCGGCCAUAUCCUUCCGAGGUGCUGGUCCCCUGGUAUUUUAAGAUGCAUACAGCUCGAUACAGAUCUCUUGGGCAACAUUAUAACUAAUUUUGCAAGUCGCCUGACUAGUAUUGCAACACUUAAAAGCUGAGAUACAUUCAUGAAGAUUGCACAUCAUGGGCUGACCAUCUAGUCACGUGAAUAUUUCAUAGGCAGGGAUCUUACACUUAGCGUUGUUUUGGGUAAGAGACUCGAGCUCCCGGGGAAUUGAAUCAUUCAGUCGGUUAAGGCUUUUAAGAAAAAACUAUUAUGGACAAUUCUAGGAGUGUCCUAAUGUAGGUAAUCGAAAACCUUUAGGGUAACUGAGCAGUUGAACAACCUAUCCACAUCAGGAUAUCCCAUAGCAGUUUACCCUCUCCUUAUGGUAGGGCGGACGUAGAUGGGUGUCGGGGAAUUAUUUUAGCCCUCGCACUUGCCCAUAUGAGUGACAGGGAAUUAGUUUACCCUUUAACAUUAGAGAGCUUACCAAGAUGGAUGUCCAGGGAUUAAUUCACCAUCUCGCACUGGAGAGCAGACCCAGAUGGGUGUUAGAGAAUUAGUUUACCUUUUCACACUAGAGAGCUUACCUAGAUGGGUGUUGGGGGAUUGGUUUACCCUCUCGCACUGGAAAGCAUUAAAGAGUAUACCUAGAUAGGUGUUGGGGAAUUGGUUUACCCUCUUGCACUAAAAAGCAUGGAAGUCGCCCUUGUGAAUCCAGUUGAGGAAAGUUAAACUGCUGGACGACUGAAAUAAUCCUCAGCAUGUGAGGUCUUCUUCGGCAAAUUGCUUGAGAUUUCAAACUGCUUGUGGAACUCGUGUAAUGGUGUAAGUGGGGAGCAUCAUGAACUGCUCCCAAAUUUGAUCCAAGUGUUGCACUGUCCUUAGAUGUUUCGCCGUGUACUCCUUAGAGGCUUAAUUGGUGAUCAUUGUGAAUCUGAAUGAAUUAUAGGUUUCUUCACCUCUAAGUCUUUCACUAGCCAGGGGCUACUGAUAAAACCUUGUAUGCUAUGUCAUUGGAUGCUUUGAAGUUUAGGAUAUUGUUGGCCUGAUAAACGCGACGGGGAGCCGCGAAGCAUGCGUCGACGUAAUUGGGAGCUAAGAGGCAAGUUUGGCAUGGCUAGGAGCCAUUGUGCAUGAUAAGUAUAAAUGAGAAUUGCAGAGAUGAGACCGACUGGGGCCGUGUUAUGCGCAGCAGGAGACACUAGUCAACUACUAGUAUUAGGCCAUUAUAGGGCUGAGUUGCGCGUAGCGAAUGCUGGUGCUUGAUUGAUGGCGUUGAGUUGCUCCAUUUAUGGAACCGUCUAGGUAAUGAGGACUAGGAGUGCUUCCGAUCCCUGGUAGUUAGAGGAAGUCUCUUGCAGGUUAGGCUGAUGUGCCAUUUUAGUGCUCAUCUGCCCCUAGUGUGGCUUUGGGCUAAGUUGAUGCGUUUAUCAAAAUGUUUGGUAAUAUCUGCACCUUUAUCAUCGUGCGUCUGGAUCGUGCAGAAUACUGUCUCAUGACGAUGGCUGCAUGCAUCUGAAGGUACAGCUUGAGCUUCCGAGUUGCAAUAACUAAAGCCAAAAUCAAAGUUUUGAUUUUCGUGUAUCUGGUUUUCGCAUCAAGGAGAGCUUUAGAAUUAUGGAAUACAGGUAGUCGGGUCUCCAGCUCUUCUUGUAUAAGGGUAGAGCUUACUUCUGUUUCAGAUACCGCCCGAUAGAUGUAUAGGUCAUCCACUGCUUUUGGGUUCUAUAGUAGAAGAGGAUGUGUUAGGUACUUCUUCAAGUAUUGGAAUGUUUUCUCACACUUCGUAGUUCCAUUUGUCUCAUCGCGCCUUUCUGAUUGCCUUGAAAAGAGCGCAUCAGUUGGUAGAUCUUGAGAAGAAAUGGUUAAAUGUUGUUGCUUGCCCGGUUAAACCUUCUAUCUCCUUCAGAGAAUUGGAGGACUUCAUAUCCAGGAUCACUCAAAUCUUCUUUAAAUAUGCGCCUAACGAGGUUGAGCUUCGUCGAUGGUUUCAAUGCGCAAAAAUCCACACAGCUGCUCUGCUACGAGCCUUUGUACUUCAUCCUAGAUUUGCCUUUGCUGGGGCAGCGAAGCCUUCAAUUGCCCCUAGUGUUAACUUGUUAGCUUGUGUUGCUUUUCCGCAUAUCCUGCUCAUCUAUGUCGCGGCUACGAUACACAUAGUUCGUUUCUCAUUGGUGAGCUAGCUACUUGGCGUCACACUUAGUAAAGGUUGCCAGUUGAACUCUAGGCUAAUUGAUCUUGUGCUCUCCUCAAUUAAUCUUACAGCUACCUAGUCCAGUGCCUCACAGAAGGAUCUCUUUGUAGGCCUAGCCAUGUGUAGACGAUUUGCCUGGAAUGUCCAAAUGCUCGUCGGAGCCUGGACCCAACCUUGAAUGCACACUGACUCAUGGGAUGAGUCAGAAAUAAACGCUUCUCUGUGCAUUAGGGCACGAUAAGACGUUUCCCGAAGGCUAGCUGAGAAUGCACACUACCCAAACGCACGGUUCGUGGCGGGUUGAGCGGCUACUUACUGGGAUGUCGCUGGAAUGAGUCACGAUCAUCUGCCCUUGUCCUACUUCGGGACACCUCGUAUGGGGCGUGUUGUGUCUCGAUGCGCUCAAAUAGUUGAUUCACCAAGGUUAUCUACUGUGACAGGGCAUUGGUUAGAUCAGCGACAUGCUGAGGUAUGUGAUGUUCACCAUUUAAAGUGGAAGAGUCUGGAUGAUGGGCCUCUCCAUAUGUGGUGGAAGUGUAAUAACUGUAGGUACGAAACUUAGGCCCAGAGCUGGCAUACCUUCGAAAAAAUGAGGUGAAAAUACCCUUGGGUCGAUUGUUGGAAUCUGGAUCAUCUGAAAUGGUCUCAGACCAACCUUGGCCGUAGGGUAAGUCGUCAGAAUGGGUUGUGGCUUGGCUAACUGGGUCGUGCGCUGGGGAACGUUAGGCCUACGCGUGGGCCACCUGCCCUUGGGCUUGGAUUGCUUGCGCUAUCUGCAUGGCUUGGGCCACAUGGGCUACAUGGCUUGUUUGUAGUGCAGUAGGUUGACCGCCUACCCUUGUGCCUUUCCUACUGGCUCAGCCAGCUCUGCUGCUCGCAGAUGGGCUUUGGCUCGCUGGGCAACUCCGUCUGCAGUAGCUGCUACAUAAUUUUGGGCAUCCUGCCCUUGGUUCUUAUGAGACUCCUGCCCUAGGUCUGCUACAUGGAGUAGUUCGGCCUCCUGCCCAUGAGUGGUAACGACAAUGGUAGCAUGGGUUGCUGCUUGGUGGCCACGGGAUGACUGCUGGGUGGUAGCCCCGGUGGUGAUGUUGCUUAGCAGUGGUGGAGCUCCUCUUUCCAUCACGUUAAGCCUCGAGGAUCGUCGUUGUAGGGCUAUGUCCUUGUCUCCACUCUCCGGUCAAAUCCUUAAACGUGCAGGCUUCAAUUUGUCUUGGUUUCAGAAUUUCCUACCAUUUUAUCCUUUCUCCAGGGAUUGAUCAAGAAACUUUCUAGGAAAAAUUAAUUGAUAUGACGCGUGAGAAAUCAACGUAACAGAAAAUUCUAAAAACCAAUUGCGAGAAUCUUAUUUGAGUAUUUGAAUUAGCUCUCAAUGAAACCACUAAUUUGUUGAUGCAAAUUUCGGCCAUCUUCAGUCUUAACGAAAAUGCACCUGCAAAACAAUCAACACUUUUGAUCAAUGGAUCUCCGAUGCCUAAGUUAGUUUAUCUGAAAAGAGUAAGUGUUUAGGGCUUUUAGGGUAGCAAGAGCUUACCGAAAUUUGGUAGAGAUGAAGAUAUAUAUAUAAGGAAGUGGCCGGCUAAGGUGUACGGAAAGAAUAUUCAAAAUAUAUUAAAUAGGAGAUAAUAUAUUGAGAUAAUGGUGUAAAUAUCCCUAAUUGAUUUAAAUAAGGAUCACUUACUUAAAUGAAGUCAAUCUUCAGUUGAGAAUGUAUUAAAGAUAUUACUUGGGUAAUUAAUCGUUAUCUUUAAUAGUAUUCAGCUGCAUGGACAUUCAGGGGUGCUGAAGUGCGCGUGGGAGUAUCUGAGGAGCUUGUCCAUUUAAUGAGGGCAAUAUGUCUUUGUUGAGCGUUAACAUAUAAAGUAAACUGAUACAGUAAAUUGACGUUUCAGUAUUGACUUUUCAGUUUUAAGCGUUAACAUAUAAAGUAAACUGAUACAGUAAAUUGCAAUGAGUAAGGGCGUAUAAUACAAGAAACGAAGGCACAUGAGCUAGUGAUUCAUAAACAGGUUCGGGUUAAUGACCUUAUGGGAGCACAAUCUAAGUUUACUUCGAAUACACUGGAAGGGUGGGUUCUCACGGGACUGUUGGAAAGGAUUUUCACCCGGUCAAGGAUUCUCCCUGGAUUGUUGAUGUGGAAGUACAUAUGACCAGUUAAUAGUAUGAGCAUGAAAAAGUUCAAGAAUAAAAAACGCUUAACAUAUCAUUUACUCAUGUUAGUACUCCCCAAUUUAAUGUGCCAAAUAAAAUUGUAAUACAAUUCGCGCCUGUUUGUGUACUUGUUGUUAUUAGAGAAAUAAACUUGUUCGUGCGAUAAUAGGACAGUAACAAUCACAUUUAUGAGACCCUUACCUUUUAAGAAAAUGGUAAUAUUAGGAAGAAUAAAUUUAGAAACAAAAAUUUUGGAAACUAAAAUGCAUGGAAGCUGAUGAUUGGUAUAUUACUUAAGCAUUGAUAAACGUGCUCAUUUAUAUUUGUGACACAUCAUUUAAUUUGCACACUUUGUCUCUCUAAAUUUAGUUUCCAUAUCAAUACCCAAAAAUAAAAAUCUAUGUUAGGGUGUACGGAAUUUUUUACAAGUAAUGUUAUUUGGAUCACGUCUCUAACAUAGAUCUUUUUUUUAUUUUUUUUAUGUAGCCUUCUUUGUUUCUGGAGAUGACGUUGAUGUUGGUAAGGAAUAUAUCUCUAUCGUUCUUUUAAUUACACUAUAUUAUUUCGCCGUACAAGAGUGGUAUUUAAUCAAUCACGUAAACAUGCACUUAACAAAUAAUAUAGGGCAUUCUCUAUGGAUAUGAAAAAAAAAAUGCAAAAAUUUCAAUGUUAAUCCAAGUGUAGGAGCGAUAGAGAUCAUAACUACCUAUGAACAUUCCAAUUUAGUGUAAUAUUCUUUUUGCAUUGGGAAGCUCUGCGAUAACCAAAAUAGAAAGCUGUUAUACCAAGUUCGAAACUCCUCUCCCUAAUUCAUUAGGGAAACAAAACAAAAAACUUAAGCUACUGAAGCUGAAAACAUUGCUUGAUGAUAAACAAUAAACAGGGACCGAUUCGGGUGAUCUUCAAAGUUGUACAUACUAUAUACAAUACUUAUGUUUGGCACCUUGAAAACUAGCUAGUUAUUUCUCAUUGAUUUUGUUAAUCUUUUGUUGUUUUUCUUGCAGGUUUGCAGGGUCACUACUUCGGUAAGAGCUUUGUCCUCUUCCAUAUAAUAAGUGUUCGAUUUUCUUCACAAUAUUCACUAUACGAAAUUCAACCUUUCUAGUCAAGUUUGAUUUAUUCUUUCCUUUCUAAAUGCAGAUCUCCGAUUGGUAUCAUUUGUUUGUUUCGGUAAGAGCUUUGUAUAUUUCAACUUUCGUAUAGAUUACAAGAGAAUGAGAAUGAUCACAACAAUAUAGUUGAUGUGAUAUCCAAUAUAGAGCAUGUAAUUUGAUCCAAGGCAACAAAUCAAUUUCUUUUCUCAUGAUGCUUUUGGUGAUUUACUGCAACGUUCAGGAUUAUUUCUUGUGGCAAGAUUUCUGUUUGGGGCACCAUUUGUGAUUGCGUUUUUGAUCUAUACAUGGAAAAGAAGACAUUUGUCAAUGUACAGCACCAUAGAAGAAUUUUUGCAUGGUGAAAAGAAUAUAGUGCCAAUAAGGUACUCAUACUCGGACAUUAAGAAGAUGUCUAACAAAUUUAAAGAAAAACUUGGGGAAGGAGGGUAUGGAUCUGUUUUUAAAGGAAGGUUACGCAGUGGACGUUUGGGAGCAAUUAAGAUGUUGGAUAAGCCCAAAGGCAAUGGACAAGAUUUCAUCAGCGAGGUAAAUACUAUUGGGAGGAUUCACCAUGUUAAUGUGGUUCAGCUUGUUGGUUAUUGUGUUGAAGGAACAAAGCAUGCUUUGGUAUAUGACUUCAUGCUCAACGGAUCUCUUGAUAAAUACAUUUAUUGCAAAGAAGGAAGUAUCCCAUUAAGUUGCAAGACAACGUACGAGAUUGCACUUGGAGUGGCCCGAGGGAUCAAAUAUCUACAUGAAGGUUGUGACAUGCAAAUUUUACAUUUUGACAUCAAGCCUCACAAUAUUCUUCUUGACGAGAAUUUGUACCAAAGAUUUCUGACUUUGGGCUGGCAAAAUUAUACCCGGUAGAUAAUAGUAUUGUGUCUCUAACAGCAGCAAGGGGUACAAUGGGAUACAUGGCUCCUGAGCUAUUCUACAAGAAUAUUGGCGGUGUUUCAUUUAAAGCCGAUGUUUAUAGUUUUGGAAUGUUGUUGAUGGAAAUGGCAAGCCGAAGGAAGAAUUUGAAUGCAUUGGCAGAGCAUUCAAGCCAACUUUACUUCCCUUCAUGGGUUUACAAUCAAUAUAAUGAAGGAAAGGACUUCGAGGUGGGAGAAGUUGAAGAGGAGGAAAAACCAUUAAUAAGAAAAAUGAUUAUAACCGCCUUGUGGUGUAUACAAUUGAAGCCAAGCGAUCGACCAUCAAUGAAGGAAGUCCUACAGAUGCUCGAGGGAGAUGUUGAAUUGCUUCGAAUGCCUCCGGAGCCUCUUCUAUAUCCACAAGAGAUGCCCGUAGGUGCUCCUAAU
rnacentral:lncRNA from 1 species